GCCCAAUGCCUACAGGGAAGGGCAAGGUCCGCUAUGCAAUCGUUGCAGUUGAUUACUUCACAAAGUGGGUUGAAGUAGAACCUUUGGCAACUAUUACUGAGGCAAAAAAUAGAAGACUUCGUAUGAAGGAACAUCCUUUGCAGAAUCGACAUUCCUAAUGCGAUAGUCACUGACAACGGGCGGUAAUUGGACAACAAUAAGUUCAGGAUGUUCUGCUCUAAGUUCAACAUCAACUUAUGUUUUGCCUCCCCAGCUCAUCCCCAGUCUAAUGGAUAAGUUGAAGCCAUCAACAAAAUAAUGAAGCGAACUUUGAAAACUAGCUUGGACAAGGCUAAAGGUUGUUGGCCAGAAUUUAUACCCCAAGUUCUUUGGUCAUACCACACUUCGUAUCGGACGUCAACAAGAGAAACCCCAUUCUCACUUGCCUUUAGUACAGAGGCAGUUGUCCUAGUGGAACUUGAGCAAGCAAUGUUUCGAGUCAAGAACUACAUGCAAAGCAAAAAUGACAAACAACUUACCCUUAACUUAAAUCUAGUCGAGGAACACAGAAACCAGGCUCACUUGAGGAAUGUCGCCUAUAAGUAGCGUAUCUCCAUUUACUAUGACUCAAGGGUCAAACCUCGUUCUUUCAAAGUGGGGGACUGGGUAUUGAAGAAAAGAUUACUCUGCGACAGAGUCCCGAGUGAAGGAACACUUAGUCCAAACUGGGAUGGACCGUUUGAAGUUGUUGGCAUCGGUCGCCAUGGCUCCUACAAGUUUAUAAGCUCCAAUGGCAAGACCCUUGGCCAUCCAUGUAACGCUGAUCACUUGAAGUACUAUUACAAGUAAACUCACAUUGUACAAGUGUUAAGCUUCAGCCGUUCGACAUCCUAUGUAACGAAGACCAUUUGGCAUGAAUUCAAUAAAGAGGUGAUUUAGACAACUCAAUCCUAAUCCUCUUACAUUCCUAGCAAUGAAACACUCGGGUUCAAAGCUUCAACAUGAAUGCUCCCAACAGGAAAUAAAGUUUAAGUAUAUGUCAACAAGACUAUACAAAUACGAACAACUUCACAGUGUAUUCGUUCAAUCUGACCCAAGUUAUGGCUUAUAUCAAACAAAGGAUUUGCUCAAAUAUAGCCAGGCAUUCAUCAAUGAUGGUGCAAAUACUUGGUAAUUAACAUCAAACUAUACGGCGUAAAGUUGUAAGCAUCCAUAAAUAAAAAGCUCUCAGGCUUACAACAUGGCACAUGCCAUACAAAUAACAAACUAGUACAUCCAGAGUACAUGGCACAUGCAUCAAAAACAACAAACUAGUACAUCUAGAGUACAUGGCACAUGCCACACAAACAACAAACUCAUACAUCCAGAGUACAUAUAGAAAAAGAGGGCACUACGAGUCAUCCUCAUCUGAGGCCGAACCCUUGACAAUAUCACUUUACGUUUCAACCCCAUUGCCAUCACCACCUUCCUCAGCAUCCCCAGGACCAUCCUCACUCUCCUGAGACUGCUCACUGAUACUAGCCUCAUUAUCAAAGUCAUCAUCACUACUAGGAUCAACUGCGAUGACGAAAGCUUCACCUUUUUGUCGGUACUCAUCCAUCUCAUCACGGUACUUUCGGAUAAUUCUUCCAUUGUCGUAACGCUCAAUGACGGCCAUCCAUUUCCUUUUCUCAAAAUUAGCCGCCCGGAUGCAGUGAGGUCUAAAGGCAUCGUGAAAGGCCAGGGAACCUAAAAACUCAUGCACAACAGCAUCCCUCUCAGUUGGGAUACUCCUCUUCAGCCCAAAAACCUCAACCAAGGCACUAUCCAACUCCCCUUUAACCUUGGAAACCUCAAGGAUGGUUGUCUCCAACUGUUCCUUAGUCGUUUCCAAUUGUUUCUUGAGCCUCACGUUCUCACCAUUCCGCCUUUUCAAACUCUCAAAGUUUUCAUCCUUAAGGCGGAUGGCAUCAGCCAAAGCUUUGCUCAUUUUUUUGGUGUCAUUCACAAGCUGCUUAUUCUCUUUAAACUUUACCUUGUACCGCUCGACCUCUCGUAAUCUGUCAUUGUACUCGGUCAUGACCUACAUGACAAGAUGAUUGUCACUACCAAGAAAAAGAGGGGAGAAAGCAAAGAAAUGACAGAGUAACACUUACAUAAGAAGAUAGCCUUAUCAUCCGGUCACGAUCUGAUUCGUUCUCAUCUAGCGGCUCACCAAGCUCAUUAACAGUGGAUCGACGUCCUGCCAGGCAAUUAUUGACAUACCUAAAACUACUUGGCUGUAUGGCAACUUUCAAGUUCUUCCAAUAAAUGUUGCCAACCUCUUCCUUGUACUUUCUUUUAUGGCUAGAGCUAGGGCCACCUUCUUGGUCAGUAGACUCCAUGGUUGGAGAAAAUAUGGGAUUGAUGGUAAAAAGAGGAGGCAACAAUCGUCUUUCCUCCUAUACAACUAUGGCAGCAGCACACCCGAUGGCCUCAGCUUCAGCCUUUCUUGAGGCAGCAAUCUUGAGGACCUUCUCUUGUGACUUAGGUUUAGGGGUUGGCCUCACCCGAUGCUUACGAGCUCUCUUGUGAAACAAAAUGUCGUCUACGGGAACUAACAUGGGUGCUUUCUCUUUAUUGGCACUAGUCUCCCCUUUCUUGCCCACUUUCUCCACUGAACAAGAAAAAUUAAAGUAAGGAAUGCAACUUUGUAAAAGAAAGAGGGGACGAAAUGAAAGACACAACUUACUUGCUCGUCUCUGGCACUCCGACACUAGGGGUUGGAAACUAUACUUUCGAAAUAAGGGUCGUAGCUUGCCCAAAUGUCUAUCCUCUUUAGGCACCCUCAACAUCUUCUCUACGUCAGCUAGCUUCCGUCCGGACAGCUUGAUGGUUUCUCGCGUCACUGCACGGAGAAAAAUGUUAGAAGCAAGAGAAAAUCACAACAAAUAGCAAAUAAUGCAAACAAGGGAUACAUUACAACCUACAGUCUGGAAGUGAGUAGGAACACGUCGCUCAGGCGUUACACCUUUAGCAUACUCCCAAUCAUUUUAAAGAAAGCACCAACAGUUUUUCCAAGUGCAAUACACAUUUUUCUUACCAAAGACAAUACGCUCUCUCUCACUCCAACAUGCACACUCGGUAUACCUAGUGCAUGCUUUCACCGGGCGCAUCUUAUAGCAGUAGCGCCACUGAUGAAAGGAAGGCUCACCUAACCCACAUUCCAUCCAAAUAAUAUAAAACCCGAUCAAGGUAUCCCAAAAACCAGGGUAGAGUUGGCUAGACGCAUAUCCAAUGAAAGACAACAUCUGUUGCAACCACGGGUGCAAAGGCAGCUUCACCCCUAAAAUCAAUAAUAUCUGGGUAUAGAACAUAACAUGACCUUUGGGCGGUUUAUAGGACAAUUCUUCAUGAUGCACCAAACGCAUUCCUACACUACGGGGGAUACAACAUGACUGCCUUAGGGCCUCAAGCUGUUUUUCGCUAUCUAACAAGUUUUGCACUAAAUGGUCUGCUGUGAACUCAAAGCGAAAUAUGGGUAUGGCGUCACAAACAACCCCCUCACCCAAUCUCGAAUUUUUUUUGUACAAGACUUCAACAAAGGCCCUGAAGACUCCAACAUUGCAAGCUCAAACCUAGAGUUAGAGUUAGGGGAGCCCUCAUCACUAGGACUUCCAAACUCUGAUAUCUACAACAAACAAAAACAAACUUUAUCACUGCAUGAAAGAUCAAAACAUAAGGAAGUUCCUAGGGCAUGAAAAAAAACUCAAUCAGUUCAUUAUGUUCUCAACCAAAUACAUGAACACUCAAACAAUUCAACAAGAAUGAAAGUAUGCGAUCUAGUAGAGAAGACCACCAACCUGAAGAUAGUGCAAAGUAAUGCCGGAAUCUCUGGAAUCUCUCACAACUAUAAAAGCACUCUGUCUCCAAAAAUCACUACAAAAUGAGCAAAUGAAGACAAUGAAAAGAGUGUAAACUUAUCAUUCUUAUAGGGUUCAACAUGGUCAAAUAAAUUCAAAAUUCAAAAUUCAAACCAUGAGAAAACCCCACAUGGAAAGUCUUCAAACUUCCACACAAUCUAGGGAGUUUUCAAAUUUCAAACUUGCAGCACCCCCUCCCCCUCUCAAGAAAAAUGGGGGGGGGGAGGGGGUGGGAGGAGGUGAACACAUUAGAUUCAUCAAAGGAGUUCAACCAUAAUUCUCAAAAGCUUCACACACUCUUGAUCAAGACAGUGUGAAGCAAAACCAAUUUAUGGUGCCAACAAGAGCUUUAUCAAUAGAGGGCAAUCACAAUUCUCAAAAGCUUCACACACUUUUGAUCAAGACAGUGUGAACCAAAACCAAUUUAUGGUGCCAACAAGAGCUUCAUCAAAAGAGUUCAACCACAAUUCUUAAAAGCUUCACAAACUCUUGAUCAAGACAGUGUGAGGCAAAAAACCAAUUUAUGGUACCAACAAGAGCUUCAUCAAUGGAGGGCAACCACAAUUCUCAAAAGCUUCACACACUCUUGAUCAAGACAGUGUGAAGCAAAGUCAAUUUAUGAUGCCAACAAAAACUUCAUCAAUUGAGGGCAACUACAAUUCUCAAAAGCUUCACACACUCUUGAUCAAGACAGUGUGAAGCAAACCAAUUUAUGGUGCCAACAAGAGCUUCAUCAAAGGAGUUCAACCAUAAUUCUCAAAAGUUUCACACACUCUUGAUCAAGAUAAGCAAAACCAAUUUAUGGUGCCAACAAAAGCUUCAUCAAUGAAGGGCAACUACAACUCGUAGAAAGCUUCACACACUCUUGAUCAAGAUUGUUCGAAGCAAUUUCAAUUUAUAUGGUUCAUCCAAACCUUCGACUACUACAAGGUGUGGCUUGCAUCACAAUCUCUUACUCAAUUUUGUGGAAGUAAAAUUUGUAUAUGUUGUCUCUCCCACAUUUUCAAAUUUCUAAUUUCCCAAAAAAAAAAAGGAAAUUGGGAAAUUCAACAAAGCUUCAUCAAUGGAGGACAACUACAAAUUCUCAAAAGCUUCACACUAUCUUGAUCAAGAUAGUGUGAAGCAAAAUCAAUUCAUGGUACCCAACAAAGCUUCACCACAAAAGCUUCACCAACAAAAACUUCAUCAAUGGAGGACAACUACAAAUUCUCAAAAGUUUCACACUAUUUUGAUCAAGAUAGUGUGAAAAUCAAUUCAUGGUACCCAACAAAAGCUUCAAAUCCGAAGCUUCACCUACAAAGCUUCAACUCCAAAGCUUCGCCUACAAAAGCUUAAACACAAAAGCUUCACCCACAAAACUUCAACUCCAAAGCUUCACCUACAAAGCUUCAACACAAAAGCUUCACCCACAAUAGCUUCACCUACAAAAGCUUUACCCACAAAAGCUUCACCCACCACCAAAGCUUAAUAUAAAAUAUAUAUAUAUAUAUAUAUAUAUAUAUAUAUAAAUUUUCAGAAAUUUAAAAAUUCAAAAAUUCAAAAAUUCAAAAAUUCAAAAAUUCAAAAAUUCAAAAAAUCGAAAGAAAAAAAAAAUUGCCUAGGCCUCAUCUUCUUUGGGCCUAACAACUUUCAUAACAAAUAUAUAUGAAGGAGGAGUUUUGGGCUACCAUGUAAAAAGGAAAUGCCUCAUUCGUCAACUCCCUCGACCGGAGACUUGGGGGACUCCUACCAUAUGUUACUGCACCUUGAUACUCGGAAGUCUCACGACCACUUAGUGACUUGGAUUUUUCAAGUCUCCAAUCGAGAAGUUUUCCUCACUCGGGAAAUUAAGGGAGCACUACCUCAACAUACAUGCUUCACUCACAAAGCUUCAACAUAUAAGUUUCAACAAAAGAAAAAAAUUCAAAGAACUUAGUGAAGAAGACUUUGGUGUAUUUAACACAAUACGUUGAAAUGAAGCAAAACUUAUUUAUUAACAUCUCCGAUAAGUUACAAAUAUGUACAUAUACAUGAGUCAAAAUAAACAAACAAGAGAGAACUUUCAUAAAGGUUGCUCAUGAAAAGUCUCAGCAGUCGGCAGAGCCCUAGAAAGAUAAGGCAUCAGAGGGUGAUCAUUCAGAGCCUUAGUACUGGACAGAACCCCAGAAUGAGGAGGCAUCGGAGGUUGAUCAUUUGGAGCUUCAUUACGCGGUACAACCCUAGAAGAUGAAGGCAAUAAAUGCCUUUGGAACAAACCCACAAACCUCUGAUGAUCAAAUAAAAUCUGACCAUUAGAUUCAUGCAUCUGGUCAAACUUACUUUUCAUGUUUGUAGCAUAGUCAUGUGCGAGCAUGUGCAACUGUUUAUUCUUAUGCUUGAGCCCUCUAAUCUCCUGUUUGAGACUUAUCACUUUAGCCGCCAAUGAUUCAACUUGGCGGGUUCGAGCAAAUAAAUGUUGGGCCAUAUUAGACACAGAACCUGUACACUGAACAUUAAGAGCCAGAUAAUCCUUAAUAACCAACUCAUCAGACCGUUUGGAAAGUAGUCUGUUAUCUUUAGGAGUGAGAAGGUUCCUGGACACCACCGCAGUGGUCAUAUCAUUCUUCAUCACAGAGUCCCCAACGGUAAGAGUACCAGUAGAGGAUAAGAAGGAUUGGCGCCAUAUGUUGUCUUGAGAAGGCAUGGCUACCUCUACACCAAAGUUCAAGUCAAAAUGACGGUUGGAUGGGCCAAACAUUUUCAGAAAUGAUGAAGGAGAAAUGAGGUCCAAUAAAUCUCUAAAGUACGAAAAUAAAGGGAAAAUUCUUACAAGCAAUAACUCUCUAAACGUACUUCUUACACACAAUUGGUGCCCUUAUAAAAGAAAAGGCAACAUGGCCGUUUGUUCAAAAAUCGAAGAGGCAACACUCUCCGGAUUUCGAGAAGCAGAUUUUCUUGAGUAAAAUAUGUCGACAAUUCCCACACGCAACAUCAGCACCUCAGGUACUGCAGAUAACUUUACCAAAGAUCUCUGACAAAGUUUAGACACAUAAAUUUUGAAGGUCCAGCUACCCUACCAUUACCCACAAGGGUAAAGAAACAUCACCACUACUUGAUAACUGGAAAGUCCUUGUGUGUGCCAACCUCCGUGCUCCGUGGCAAGACCGACUGGCAAAAAUGCCCAACCUUUACUCACAUCGAGAAAACACUCCCAGUAGGAUUACUUGCUCAAAAAUCGAAGAAGCAUUGCUCCCCGAAUCUCGAGAGCCAAACUCCCACCAAGAUGGCUUCCUAAAAAAUCGGAGAGGCACCACUAACUGACUAUCGAGAGCCAGACUCACAACAGGAUUGUUUUCCCAAAAAUCGAAGAGGCACCGCUCUCCAAAUCUCGAGAGCCUGACUCCCAACAGGAUUGCUUUCUUAAAAAUUGAAGAGGCACCGUUCUCCGAAUCUCGAGAAUCAGAUCCCCGACAAGAUUGCUUGUUCGAAAACCGAAGAGGCACUGCUCUCCAAACUUCGAGAGCCAGAUUUCCUUGGAUAAAGCUUAUCUGCAAUCGUCACAAGCAACAUCGGCUUUCCAGAUACUACAGACCACUUUUUCGAAGUGCUCUGAAAAAGUUAAAACACGUGAAUCUUGCAACUCCCACUACAUUGCUAUGACUGAGAAGGGUAAAGGAAUAGCGUUACUACUAGCUAUUGGGACAAUUUCUAUAUAUGUCGACCUCCAUCCUCCACAACCAGGCAUACCUGUAAAUAAAAAAAAAUGCUCAACUUUUAUUCACAUCCAAGAAGGCACUCCCAAUAGAGUCUCUCGAAAUACUCAGCUUCUUCCCCCUCCCCCCCCCCGGCGAUAAUACUUAUGCAAACAAGUCACACCAAAGUAAGAGUAUCUCAUAUCAUGAGGGUUAAAAGAAAAAGUAUCUCAUAUCGUGCUUUUUCCCUGUAUUUUCCUUUGCCCUUACUCUUACCUGCAGGACAAAGAGAAAAAACAUAAUCAGUCAGAACCUAAAAUCAAACUUCCGAUCUGGAACUGAUUGCCCGAAAUAUUUGCAUGGUUGUUUGCCUAACAUUGCUCUCGAGUACUCAUCCUCAAUUGUUGUCAAGGUCAUAAAGUCCUUCGGCAAAUACCUCAGAACAGUUAAUAUGAUAUUGACGUUUCACACUGAAGCUGCCACGCAUGGAUGAGUUGCUGAGAAGUAGUGCUUUGAAGAACCAUUUAAAUGCAAAGGUUGAAUUCCAUUCCUACAUCGAGGACAAAUGUUGUAAGAGAUUGAAACAUAAUGAUCAAUGAUGAGCUAGAACAUAUCACUACAACACGAUGCCCUUCCUGCAGAACCACACAACCCAGACAGAGGAGUCUAAAUCAAAUCCAAACCCAGCAUCGCUGCCCUAUCCGAAGAACUUGAGAAUCUUCAACAACCUUUUGCUGACACCAUCACCAAAUAGCAAAGCUUCGCCAUACCACACCCACUACUUUAUCAACAGCAAAAGUAUCCCAUAUCAUUAGGGUCGAACGUACUCUAGAUUUGAUGGACUUGUUUUGACCCUUAAAUUCUUAAGUCGGCCUUAUACUUUGGAGGAAACCAGAAAACCCUUCAACCCAAUUCAAGAAUAAGCUUGUGGAAAGUUACUUCUUCAAAAGUAAAAGUAUCUCAUAUCAUAUCUUCUCCAUUUGCUUCUCCUUAUCCAUGUUGCUGUUUACGACACAAUGAGAAGGAGAACAAUCAACCGGAAGCCGAAGUCGAACCUCUGAUCCAGGUUGCUUGCUUGGAAGUCUGAUUGCUUACCUUGUCUGUUACCUCAUUCGGCAAAUCUCCUAACUCGGCGACUUGGAUGACUCUUACUAUAAGGUUUGUAUCGCACUUGACCAAGCCAGAAAUUACAAGUAAGCUUCAAUUGAUACAUUACCUUGUGCAUCUUCAUCGAUUAAAGAUACCACCCUUGGAUGAAGGAAAAGUACUUCCAGAGAAGAUGCCACAUCUACAUAUAAGACAGAUAAGGCAAGUGAAAAUGAUACCACACUUCGGUACUUAGAAGUUUUGUGAUUACUUAAUGGCUUGGAUCUUGCAAGUCCCCAAUCGAGAAGCUUCCCUCACUCGGGAACUUAAAGGAGCACUGUUUGUACCAUACUUGACCAACCCCGAAACUACUAAGCACCGGUCAACAUUAUACCACCAAGGACCCACAAGAGUCUCCCUCCAACCAGGAGACCAAUCAGCGACACAUGUCAACAUCAGAGACCAAUCAUAACGCGACACGUGUCGAUAUCAGAGGUCAAUCACAACACGACACGUGUCAAUGUCAGAAUGAAACUAGAAACUCACUUCUAUAAAUAGAGAUCAUUCUCUCACAAUAUUUUCUAAUGUUAUUUGUACUAAAUCAUUCGCUAGUACUCACUAAAGGAGAGCUUGAACCUAUGUACUUGUGUAAACCCUUCACAAUUAAUGAGAACUCCUCUACUCCGUGGACGUAGCCAAUCUGGGUGAACCAUGUACAUCUUGUGUUUGCUUCCUUGUCUCUAUCCAUUUGCAUACUUAUCGACAUUAGUGACCGGAGCAAUCUAGCGAAGGUCACAAACUUAACACUUUCUGUUGUACCAAAGUCCUCACUGAUUUUGUGCAUCAACAUGACUCAUUUUGAUGGAAUUCUGAUGUUGAUGAAAAAGACCAUAUAUGCAUGUUUUGACUAGUUAAGAGACUAAUGGUCAUGGCAAGUGGCCUUUUACCACAAUGGUGGAAAGGUGUUGAGCCUUUCCAUAGCAGCAUUGGUUCAAAUCUUGUUCGGUGUCCAACAUCCUAAUCUAACAAAUCUAUCAUUUGACAAUAAAAAAGAGACUACUGGUCAUGAAUUUUUAGAACAUCUCUAAAGAAGAUGUCAAAUUUGAAACAUCAAAUUGAUAUUUGAUGGCUUAUGUGGCGAAUUGACAUUUUGUACAAUUUUUUUAUUCACUCGAUAUGUUAAAUGAUAAUUCCAUUCUAAAUUUUUUUUUAUCACUUUGUAGGGUCCAUUUAUUGAGGCAACCAAUCUAAUUCUUAGAAUACACAACAACAUUUAUUAUAUGCAUUAAAUGUAAUAAAAAAAAAUACUAAAUGCAUUUGACAGUAGAAGACUUUGCCUUCAAUUGACUCAACGCCAUGUAGGAAAUUGAAGGCUCAGUUGGAGAGAGUGUGCUGCCAAUUUUUACUAUUAUAUACUUAUACGACAGUUUUGACAUCUCCUUUAGCGAUACUCUUAGUUGAAGAAUCAUUACUCCAUUGAGUUAAAGUUGAUGAACUAUUUCUACAAUUUUCUCGGAUUUCAUUUGUUGUAGAAGAGAUCUAAUGUAAGUUCCAGCUAUGUGAUGGUUAGCCGUCCAUAUACACAUAGCGACACUGUGAAAGUGAUAGUGUAAAGGGAUUACAUUUGAGAGAAACUCUAAUUUGUGGAACAUUGAAUUUGUGAAACAUCAAAAGCUUGAGAGAAACUAUUUUUUUAAUUAUAAUUAAGAUAAAUAAAAUAUAUCAAAUUAAAACUUUAAAUAGUCCUGGAAAACCCUUGAAAGAAAAACAAAACAAGACAUUACAAAAAAAUUGAAAAUUAAUUUUAAGACUUAAAAGGUGUUUUUAACCUAGGAAAUUUUUGAAACAAAUUGAUCCUAUUUUGCAACGACGAGUUGGACUCAUCUCUUUUUUUCCUGUUCAGAAAGGUAUUUUGAACCAUCACUGAAACACUAUUUACACUAAAAUUCACCUUUUUGAUAUGCUCGUUCAGCCUUACAUCAUACACAAGUAAUAUUUAGUCAUUAAAACCUACAUAGUCUAUAUUUUAUCAACCAUCACGCGUGAAUGACUGAGCUUUACAAAAUCAUGCACAAAUAGAGACCAUUUUUUAAGUAUAAUUGGUUUGUGUCCCUCCAUUCUUGGAGGGUGGGGAGGGUUAUGCAUUUGCUGGUUAUUUUAUGUUGGGGGAUAGAAACCCAAUUGGGGUUCACUUUCUUUUGGGAUUUGGACAAAUGCAGACGGGGGCCUCAUGUUAUGUUCUCAAACAGGAAAGGGGUGAUUCAAGUGGUCCCAUUUGGCACUUGCUGUAUAAAAAUAAGAUGCUGGGGAGAGAUGGACUGAUGGAAGGGAAAGCUGAAUCUUUGUGUAAUCAGAUCUCAAACCUACGAGUUUUCAUUAAAGGGAGGGCUCUAUGUCCUUGCAUGUGGACCAGGACAAGGUGAUGUAAUUUGUCUAUAAAUGAUGAAACAGUCGAGUUGUGGGAAAUAUGUAGAUCGAUUGACAUGAAACCUUUUUAUCUUGUCCAAACAGUCAUCAAAUUCUAAUAUGUUGAAAAGCUGUGUGGAGAAUGGAUAUAAUUAGAUGACUAGAUUUCUUCAUAAGUAAUCCAUUUACGUACCUUAGUUAGUGGGGUGUAUAUUGUUUUUCUGCUUCUUCAUAAUCCCAAAUGAUCGUAUAACUAAUAUGGUCAUUGUUUGUACCAUACUUGACCAAUCCCGAAACUACUGAUCACGGGUCAACAUUAUACCGUCAAGGACCCAGAAGAGUUUCCCUCCAACCAGGAGGCCAAUCACAGUGCGACACGUGUCGACAUCAGAAGUCAAUCACAGCGCGACAUGUGUCAACAUCAGAAGCUAAAUGAAACUAGAAACUUUCUUCUAUAAAUAGAGAUCAUUCUCUCACAAUAUUCCUAAUGUCAUUUGUACUAAAUCAUUCACUUGUACUCACUAAAGGAGAGCUUGAACCUAUGUACUUGUGUAAACCCUACACAAUUAAUGAGAAUCUCCUCUACUCCGUGGAUAUAGUCAAUCUGGGUGAACCAUGUACAUAUUGUGUUUGCUUCCCUGUCUCUAUCCAUUUACAUACUUAUCCACACUAGUGACCGGAACAAUCUAGCGAAUGUCACAAACUUAACACUUUGUUAUACCAAAGUCCUCAUUGAUUUUGUGCAUCAACAGUUAUGAUAAGCCAAUGUUCUUUGAUCACAAACUGUUGAGAUGUGAGUGAUUAUGUGUUGACUGGUAGCCAACAAAAUACACUAAGAUAUUAUGAUACAUUUAUCGACAAUAUAGGUACUCUUUAUCAACAAAAUAUGACAUCCUGCACUAUAUGUACAAGACUAACCAUGACUCAUAAAUCCUAAAGCUACAAAGCAAGGCGCACCUCUUCAUGUGGAAACUUGGCAUACCAAUUCAUCCAAAUUACAAUAUGUAGUAUCGUUGAGUCUAUAUGUUGUAAUGUAAGUGAAUUGGUGAUAUAACGUGAUAUUAUUACUGUCAUACUAAAUUUUAUUAACAAAAAUUAAGAAUAUUGUUUUGUCCAAUCAUAACUAUUUUUGUUGACGUUUGCAUGGCACAACCAAAAUCGUAUGUCACGUUGCACUUAUUCUCUAAAGCAAACCUAACUCACUUUAAACUCCUACUGCACUCUCCACGUAUAUUUCAAGUACUUUUUAAGAAGUUAUUUGUAUCAUAUAGAAAACCUUACUCAGAUCGCUACAAUUAGAAGAAAUUAUUAGGUAGUAUAUAUAGGGGUGUGAUAUCCACACAUCUUUUUUUACUUCUCACACACCCUUCUAAUUUUUGGCCGUCGGAUCGGAUAAAAUGAAGAAGAUCAACGAACAUAAAUUAACAAGGGGUGUGUGAGAAGUAAAAAAGGGUGUGUGGAUAGCACUAUCCACACAUCCCUUUUUACCACACAUCCUUUUUUACUUCUCACACACCCUUUGAUAAUUUAUGUCCGUUGAUCUUCUUCAAUUCAUCCGAUCCAACUGUCGAAAAUUAAAAAAGUGUGUAAAAAGUAAAAUGGGAUGUGUGGAUAUCACACCCCUAUAUAUAUUUAUUUGAUGGUCUGAUGGAUGAUGGAUCUCUGUUCGCAAGAGUAAUAAUUCUUCACAAGUUCGCAUCAGAAACAUUGUUAUCAUGUCCUUUAUCUAGUUGUCAUCAUCAUAAGUUAAGGAAAUACCAAAGUAUAUUAGCUUUAGAUACGUUUAACAAAACUAUUCUCUUUUUGGUUUAUAUAUAACCGCCCAACAGUACGUAUUAUUAUCUUCGAAUAUCAUGUGUACGCGUACAUUAGAAAAAUAAAAAGUAAAACAAUUGUUUCUCACAACGGAAAUUCCUAUUGAGUAGUUCGAUAUGUUUGCUCGUAUUAGCAAUAUUAUUUGUUAUCUGGAAAUAGUUGAUGAACCAUUAAGUUCAAUUGAAAAAAAAAAAGUAGGAAGAAUUAAUAGUGGGUUUUACAAAUAUGUUUUCAAUUAAUCAUGAACAGAAACUCAACCAGUAAAAGAAGGAAUGAGUAGAGGAGACUGAUUGUGCCAAAUGAUCCUCCUACUCCAAGCUGCACUGGUUUGUGUGCGUACUCUUAUGAAUUGCAGACUUGCAGAGAGUUGUCCAGCUGCUCUGGCGUAUAUACGUACUUCAAGCUUCACUUACACCAUGUAUGGUAGAGAAUCCCACCACAAAGAAAGAUCACACAACACAAAAAAGGGAUCAUCAAUCAUGAUUGCUUAGAUGAUAGAGUGCCGUGUACAUCAUAAGAUAUAGUUUUCUUUUCGUCCUUUGUGCGGUUACAAACUUACGAGUUUUCGUACUCGAAUUUCAUGUAUUUAUUAAAUUUUCAAGACAAAAGUAGAGCCUUGUACACUGAAUUUGCAAUUAACAAGUCAUUAAGGUGAUCUUUAGACAUGCAGAGGUAAACUUAGCGUCGAAUUUAAGCUAUGUUUUAGCUCUUCAAAAAUUAGAUUUUGUAAAGAAUAGUUCAUGUCGUCUUCAUCUCCAACAUUGGAUGGCUAUAUUUCAAACCCCUUAAUAUAUGUUAUAUUGUAGUGCUAAGUAAAAAUUAUGAUACAACACAUUAUAGAAAUAUAAAUCAAUUUUAAGGAAAUAUGAGGGAGGCUUGUAGGCUAUGACUCACUAAUCAUGAUGCGGGAGCCAAGGCUUUAAAAAAUUAAAAAAAAAUUGAAAACUUCUCGUUGGCAUUGGAAAUUCAAAUAAUAAAGGCAUUGUAAUUUAUUUUAAUGACAUAGGAACUUGUUAAGUCAUUUCUAGAGAGUUUUUUAGGAAGUUGUGGUCUAUUUAUGCUUCUUUAUCUUUAGUUCCUUUAAAUAUUGAUGUAUUAGAAGCCAUUGCUAGACUUGAAUGAAUUAAAAUAUAUUUUGCUUUGUGCAAUUGAAGUGAGUGAUUUCUCCUUCCCCAAUCAAGCAUUUGGCUUGGUCAUCCAUGAUUAACGACGUGAGAUAGCUCCGUUGCCCCUGGUUGAGCGAAUCCCAGGUUAUCUAUUCCCUUCUCCUCGAUACCCUUGGUUCUGUCCUGCAUCAAAUGGCAUUAGAGCAGGUUUUCCGCUGCAGUUGAAAAUCAUGGCUAUGAUUAUCAAUCCGUUUCAAGAUCACAUCGUUGAAGAGAUUAGUUUCAUCGAUUGGAAUUCACCACCAAUUUAUGAUGAAUACGUUGAUGAAGACGAAGUCAAAAAUCAUUUUGUGAAUGAAGUUAAUGACAUCGAGCCUUCCAUGCAUCAAAUGGUAAUCUGUUACUGCUAUUCAUCUUUUGGAUGCUACAAGGAUCUUCAAAGUACUCCAAGCAUGAUGCAAAUGGAGAUGCUUCAGACCUACAAGGAAUGGAUGAUGGCAAGGUGCUACUGAUGUCCCAAAUGAAUUUUGAAAAGAAUUUCAGACAGUCUACAAUUUUUGUGACUUCAACAUGGAUGGAACAAGGCGAUGUCCCUCCUUCCUCAAGCCCAGCAAUGAUGCUUAAAGAGGCCACUCAUGUGAUAAGUUGCGGUUAUGAAGACAAAACUGAAUGGGGUUUAAAGAUAGGUUGGAUUUACAAAUUUAUCAUAGAGAGCAUUCUAAGGGGUUUCAAGAUGCAUUCUAGUGUGGUUGGAGGUCAUUUUCAAUCAAAAAGAAGGAACCAGGGCCUACAACGUUUGAAAGAAUGGGGAAAUGGUAUUUUCAUGAAUAUUUUGUGGCUUGGAACACUUUGAUCGCCGUGAACUUCAUUUUACUAUUGUGGUUGUUGUGGAAGAAUCUGCAAGGUCAUCCCAAAGAUCGAGGAAGACCAAAUGGAACUUGAGGACGAGUUUUCUUCGAGAAUGGGAGAAUGAUGCGGGAGCCAAGGCUUAAAAAAACAAAAAAAUAAACACAAAUUGAAAACUUCUCGUUGGCAUCGGAAAUUCAAAUAAUAAAGGCAUUGUAAUUUAUUUUAAUGACAUAGGAACUUGUUAAGUCAUUUUUAGAGAGUUUUUUAGGAAGUUGUGGUCUAUUUAUACUUCUUUAUCUUUAGUUCCUUUAAAUAUUGAUGUAUUAGAAGCCAUUGCUAGACUUGAAUGAAUUAAAAUAUAUUUUGCUUUGUGCAAUUGAAUUGAGUGAUUUCUCCUGCCCCAAUUAAGCAUUUGGCUUGGUCGUAUGAGUGAAUCCACGAUUAGCGACGUGAGCUAGCUUCGUUGCCCCUAGUUGACGAAUCUCAGGUUAUCUAUUCCCCUCUCCUCGAUACCCAUGGUUCUGUCCUGUAUCAAAUCAAGUGCGAGAUUUCUCCUCUAGAUCAUUGAUUAAGGAGUUCAUAUUUCUCUGAGCUUAUCAUUUAUAAGAAAGAGAUGUUGUAACAAAGUAUCCUAAAAUGAAAUCCUUGGUACCGAAAUGAUUAGUCACUUCUUCAUUCAGUACAGUUUUUUUUUCUUUUCUUUUUUUUUUUUUGCUUCAAAAGGGAUCAUGGCUUCGCCACGGUAAUCUACCUUUUUGAAGGCCAGAAAGACUCACAAAGGCAUUUCAGCCUCUCUGGCCCAUCGUGCUAUUCACAAGUGCAAGGAAUUGAACCCAAGAGAUACCGUGUGAAAUACAUAUCUUAAAUUUAUCCCCAACCACUAGACCACCCUGUGGUGGUAUCAUUCAGUAUAGUUAAUUUGAUAUUUAAUUGAUAUUUCCAACUCAUUUAGUUAUAUACUUUAGUUUAGAUUAAAUUUCCAAACCACGUAGUUCUUUUCCCAAUUGACUUGAUCUGGUCACGGAUUAGUAAUAGAACUUUGAAAUUAUUGAUAAUUAUGUGACAGAGAAAAUCCUUAAAACAGCCCGCCAGAAGAUAAGUGCUAGUUAAUAGAGGUAGGAGCAAACAUUCAUGAAAUGAAAUGUCAGGUUCAUCAGUCUUCUCCCCCACUAUAACUAAUUGAGCUGUAUGUUGAUUAAUUAAGAAGAAUCAAGUAGUUAGGCCCUUCCAUCAUCUUCACCUACUACUAUAAGUUCCAACAAUUAUAAUACUAAUCUAAUUGGGCCAACAGAAAAUUAAUGUAACACCUCAUUCACAACGUACCAUAACUAAUUUAAUGUGAUAUUCUGCAUCCAAUAGGAAGUUUUCAAAUUGAAAUCCAACUUGCUUUAUAUGUAUAGGGUGAAAACGUCAAACAUGUUUGGUGGGUUUUAAGUCAGAUUUGGGUAUUUUAAGUUGGGUUAGAAGGUUUAUUAGUUUUCAGCCAUUAGAUUAAUGCAACGGGCGCGUAGAGUGGUUAGUUUUCUAUUACAUUUUUAACUAGUUAGCGCUUGAACACUCUUGCAUAAUACGUAACAAAUAUAAUGUUUGGUUCAAUAUCGAGGUUGAGGAUGAGAAUUAUAAAUUUUCCAGUUUGAGAUAUAUGGUAUUCGAAUUAAAAGUUUUCUAUCAGAAUUAAAACCAGAUCAAGGAAACAAGAAUAUAGUUGAUAGCCAACUAGGUUAAGUUGGGCAGUUUUGUGUCUUAGAAGAAACGCCGACUCUCGUUCACAUCCAUAUUGAGUUAAGAAAUUAAAGUACAAAAUGCCUAUGAGUCGAACAAAGGAACGUUGAUCUUGGGAAAUUUACAACAGGACGAGAACCUGAAAUCAUCAUUUCAAAUGUGUAGGUUGUUAUAUAUGUGCAUCACAUGACCUCUAUGAUAGCAGUGUUUAUCUAGGAUGCGUGAGAGUGUGCAACGGGCUAGGGCAGCUUGACCAUGCCCAGUUUAAUGUCAACCUAGCACAACACAUCAUGAUUUUUUGAGGACUAGGGCAAGCAUGGGACACGCCAUGGCGUGAGACACGAUUUUCGUUGCACGUCUCUGACGCGGGCACGAGCUCAUUGUGAGCUGGACUCGUGCGAAACCCUACCUACCUCCAAACUACAUGCAACUAAAACGUAGUUUGAAUUAUAUGAUAUCCAAAAUAUCAGAUUUAUAGGUUUACCCUCCCUAUAGCUGGAUGACAUCCCGACUACGGGAGAGGCAAGAAUUCAUUCCAGGGAUUUCAAGUAAUUGACCGUGUCAAGGAAGAGUUGGAGAAUAUUUGCCCCGGUGUAGUGUCAUGUGUGGACAUUCUCGUGGUGGCUGCGAUAGACGCCGUUCUGAUAUUCACUCUUAAAAUAAUUAGUUCUCCGCUUCAACUUUAUUUUACUUUACUUUCCACACACCAUUUCUGGCUUCGUCACUGUUUGGACCUGAUUUUACACAUCGGCCUAAGCAAUCGAGGCCGUUGAGUAAGCAUGGUUCUCAACCGUUGGAUAAGAAAGUUUAGAUAUUAUUGUUAAGAGAUAAUAUUAUGAUUUUUAAUCAUAAUAAUUAUUUUUUUUAUAAGUUAUCCCGGUUUUUUAUGCAAAAUAAAUGGGAUGGAGGCAAGUAGAGUUGUGAUGGGGACGUGAGCUUUGAAUCAUGUUGGUUUGUUUUGCUGGACAUGCAUGCAUGGGAUGUAAAGAUAAUGAAGUGAUAGGGGAUAAAUCCAAACAUGCCAAAACGUGUAAUUUGCAAAAGAAUUGUGCAAUAUGGAGAUUCUAUCCUAAUGCAUGGUUUUUUGGGUUUGGUUUUGUGCACGUGGCAUGCGACAAUGGAGAUGAUGGUUUUGCAUGGUGAUGGCAAUAUGGGUUUAAAGGUUUCUCAUGUUUUUUUAAUAAGAAGCCUAGGUGGGUUAGAUCUCUAGUGAGAUGUGAUAAAGCCUAGGUAGGCUUUAUUUAUCUGAAGGAUAUGUGCGGCGUAUUUGAUACGGGAUCAGGGUCAAUUCCACAAAAUAGAGUUGCAGUUGGACUCUACAAAAUUAUUUGGCCGCGUCACACAACAUUUGCUCCUAUAAAUACAGAGAUAGUGGCAACGGAAGAAAGACCCCUGCAAAUCAAUACAAAAUUGCCCUGCGCAAAUUCUCACAACUUGUGAUUUUUCUUUUUCCUUUUUCGCUGACACAUCUUCCGUUGGCGUCAACAGCACUGUGGAAGCAACCGGUGAUAUCUUAAGUCGGCAUAGAUAGCUCUGUCACCGUAGAAUCAAUCGGUCUCGCAGUAUCUUCCGUUGGCAUCAACAGCACUGCGGCGAGAACGGUUAAUUACCUAUCCAAGUCUCGGUCGAGAAGGGUUUCUGAACCCUUAUUGGUCGAUGUCAUCUCAUCAGCCUUCUCGGCGAAGUGAGGUGUUACACGUUAUUACGUUCGGCAUAUUGAAAGCCGAAUUUGAUAUUGAACUUCGUAAGAAUAGUAACCUUGUCUUCAGGUUCGAGAGCCCAAGAGGCCGAGACGUGUUCCUUUCUCGGCCGCAAUCGCAAGACGCAGAAGUCAGCCGCGCACCCAACGCAACAUCAACAAAUUUACUCCUUGGCCGAGCUCGGCCGACGAGUUGGCACGCCCUGCAUUCACCGAAGGACGUAGUUAGCUCAUUAAUUAUUCGGCCUGCACGCCACGUAGGCUUUGUAGUUUUUAGGGUCAACAUUUUGGCACGCCCAGUGGGACCCAGUGCUAAACUACGAAGUUCACAUGAUCUAUCUCGAUCCGGCUUCAAGGGAUGAGUGUUAUCGCCUAUUAAAGGAGCAAAAACAACUUCUCGAAAGUUUGAGAAGAAUUUCUGAAAGGCAAAAGGCCGAGGGGCAAAUCUCCACUCCGGCCACAACCAAUAUUCGGCCUAAGAAAAGUGAUAAUUUGGCCGAAGAACAAAGGCCACUUGUUGUUUCGGUAGAGACUGAAAAUAUAGUAGGCCUAGAAGAAAAAAUUCAAGUCCCUAAGCUAUAUACAAAAAUUGACUUGGAAAAAGAUUCGUCAAAAGAAUGCUCUAGUGACGAACGAGGCCGAAAUAUUGGCCUAGCCCGAGAAACUACGCCAAUUGAUAUGAUUAUUGGCAAUAAAGCCGAUAUGGAGAAAUCCUGUUCGGCUAAGUUAUUUGAAUUAAAAGCCGAAAUUAUGCUUGGGGGGCUGUUUGGACUCAAAUUUACACCAUCGGCCCAUGUAAUCAAGGCCGUUGAGUGAGCAUAGUUCUCGACCGUCAGAUGGAAAAGUGAAGAUAUUUUUGUUAAAGGAUAAUAUUAUGAUUUUUUAUCAUAAUAAUUAUUUUUUAAUGAUGAAUUAUCUUGAUUUUUUCCUGGUACAAGAUGGAUGAGAUGUAAAUGUAGUUCAAUUUGAUUUGGGAUUCUUGGAGUUAAGACGCGUGGUGGAUUGGGAGCAUCAGAGCACGUUAUUAAGAGUCCUAAUACACUACUGCAUUGUUGGCAAAUGGAAAUUGGCAGAGAUAUUAAUGCUUGCAUAAAGAUGAAGAUGUUAAAUUGGAGAUGGAUAGCCACGUGUGAGUGGAUUUGGUGGAGCCAUGCAUGCAUAUCAUUAUUUCAAGUCAAGAUGCUUAUCGGCACUAAUUGGUAUAUGCUAAUAUGCUAUUAAUUAGCAAGAGGUGGUUGCAUGUUGGUAAGUGAUAACAAUCUUUUUGCAUGAGAUUGUUAUGAAUGAGGACUUUGAUGUUGGCGGCAGCUUUACAACACGAGCCGUCAGGAUGAGGAUGAUACUUAUAAAUACAGAGUCGCAAACAACGGGUAGGACCCCUGCAAAUCAAUACAAAAUUGCCCUGCGCAAAUUCUCACAACUUGUGAUUUUUCUUUUUUCCUUUUUUCGCUGACACAUCUUCCGUUGGCAUCAACAGCACUGUGGAAGCAACCGGUGAUAUCUUAAGUCGGCAUAGAUAGCUCUGUCACCGUAGAAUCAGUCGGUCUCGCAGUAUCUUCCGUUGGCAUCAACAGCACUGCGGCGAGAACGAUUGAUUAUCUAUCCAAGUCUCGAUCGAGAAGGAUUUCUGAAUCCUUGUUGGUCGAGGUCAUCUCAUCAGCCUUCUCGGCGAAGUGAGGUGUUACAAGUGACUACAUUCGGCACGUUGAAAGCCGAAUUUGAUAUUGAGCUUCGUAAAAAUGGUAACCUUGUCUUCAGGUUCGAGAGCCCAAGAGGCCGAGACGUGUUCCUUUCUCGGCCGCAAUCGCAAGACGCAGAAGUCAGUAGCGCGACCCAACGCAACAUCAACAAAUUUACUCCUCGGCCGAGCGCGGCCGACGAGUUGGCACGCCCUGCAUUCACCGAAGGACGUAGUUAGCUCAUUAAUUACUCGGCCUGCGCGCCACGUAGGCUUGGUAGUUUCUAGGGUCAACAUUUUGGCACGCCCAGUGGGACCCAGUGCUAAUACUACGAAGUUCAUAUGUUAUAUCAAGAUUCCAAUCUGGCUCAACGUAGCUGAUUGUACGAGCUCCUGGAGGAAUUGAAAAAACAUAAUGAGGAAUGCAAAAAAUCUUUGGAAGCAGAAAAAGUUCUUCGUGGCCAUAAAGAGAUGCAAAAGUCAUUCGCUUGCAUGGUGAAAAUAAAAGCUCCUGUUACCCUGCAUGGGUAAAUGAAGACAGGGCUCGAUUUAAUGCCUGGCUAGAUGAAGAACGUUUUCCUUACGUUUCUGAUUACAGAUCAAUUCCAUUUGAAAAAUGGUUAGGUCCAAAGGCCGGGGGGCAAUUUUUCGCUCCGGCCACAAUCAAAAUUCGGCCUCAAAAAAUUGUUAAGGCGGCCGAAGAAAUACUUAGGCCACCUGUUGUUUCGGUCGAGAUUCAAAGUGUGGUAGGCCUAGACGAAAAAGUUGAAGUUUCUGAGCUAAAAAUCGACUCAGAAAAUGAUUCGUCAGAAGAGUGCUCCAAUGACGAACAAGACCAAUACACGACUUCAAACCAUAAAAUCACAUCGAUUGAUAUGGUAAUUGAAGACAUAGGUCUAGCCGAAAAAAUCACGCCAAUUGAUCUGAUUAUUGGUGAUAAAGCCGAUAUGGAGAAAUCCCGUUCGGCUAAGUUGCUCGAGUUAAAAGCCGAAAUUGGUGAAAUAAUUAUGCCCAGGGGGCAUAAUACUUGUUCCACACAUUCGGCGGCUGAAAAUGCAAAAUAUUUUGCCGAGUCAAAAAUAUUUGGGAAAAAUUCUUUAUUCGGCCUAGAGCGAAAUCAAUUUGAAAAUUUUGAUGCAAAAAGAUCUUGGCUUGGAAUAAAACAUCGUUGGUCUCCUCCUGAUUAUGGUUCGGCCACUUUUAUUUUCGUUUGCUAAAAUAUUAAAUAAAUUAUUUUCUUAACUAUUCGGCUUUUUAGGCCGAUGCAUAAACAUAAAAAGGGGGUAGUAUUGUUUUGACCGAUUUGUGUUCGGAUUUAAGAUUUAUUCGGCAUAUAACAUAUCAUGCAGAAAUUAAUCAUGGCAUGAACUGUUCUAGCACGAAGUGUUACAAUUUGGCGUCAAAGCAGGAGUUGAAUCAUGGCAUCUGCAAUUAGAGUCUCGGCCAAAAGAGUGGUUGCCGAGCCAUUCAAUGCACCUGGGAUUGGUUUGGCCGAAUAUAUAUAUAUAAGAGUUUAGCCGAACUCUCGACUACCUUACAAAAGCCUCGGCCAAAGCUGCAUAUAUAUGAUUCGGCCAAAACUGUAUAUAUAUAUAUAUAUAUAUAUAGGAAUUGCUUAAGGGGAGGGAUCCCCAUUUUUUCAAAAAAAUGGGGACACACUCCCCACCGUUGGAUUUGAAUUAAAUGAAAUCCUGUGGUUGAGAUUCUAUGGCCUGUGUUUUAAUCUCAACCACACAAUUUCAUUAAAGUCAAUCUAACGGUGGGGAGCGUGUCCCCAUUUUUUUUGAAAAAAUGGGGAUCCCUCCCCUUAAGCUCCCUGUAUAUAUAUAUAUAUAUAUAUAUAUAUAAAGAAAAUGGGGAUUCUCGGCCACAACUAUAUAUAUAUAUAUAUAUAUAUAUAUAUUGGGGGGGUUGUUUUUAAUGAGGGCAUUAGAGACUCGGUGGACGUCAAAUCUUGGUCAAAUGAGUGGGUCUGAGUUUCAAUGGCCAUGUGGGGUCGAGGGUUCAUGAUUUAUCUUGGUCAUGAUAGAUGAGUGAUAUUCAAUUGGAGGAAUUCAGCACAGUAUUUUGCCGAAUAAGUUUUUAUUCGGCGGUGGUUUCUCCAAUAAUUCUCGGCCAUAUGUUUUUCUCGGUCACUCGGAGGUAGUCAGUCAUCGGUAUUAUUAUUGGUAAAUCAGUAUUAUUGGAUGAUCAGACUUGGUGCAUACAGCUGAGCUAUCAGGGAUAAGGCCGAGUAAUCAACCGAGCUACCAAGAAUUAGUCAUUGCUGAGCCUUGCAUAUAGAAUGAUGGCUACGAACAAUUAAUUUCCUUAAAUAUUCGGCUUAUGAGCCGAAGUUCAAGGAAAUUGGGGGGCAAUGUUUGGACUCAAAUUUACACCAUCGGCCCAUGUAAUCAAGGCCGUUGAGUGAGCAUAGUUCUCGACCGUCAGAUGGAAAAGUGAAGAUAUUUUUGUUAAAGGAUAAUAUUAUGAUUUUUUAUCAUAAUAAUUAUUUUUUAAUGAUGAAUUAUCUUGAUUUUUUCCUGGUACAAGAUGGAUGAGAUGUAAAUGUAGUUCAAUUUGAUUUGGGAUUCUUGGAGUUAAGACGCGUGGUGGAUUGGGAGCAUCAGAGCACGUUAUUAAGAGUCCUAAUACACUACUGCAUUGUUGGCAAAUGGAAAUUGGCAGAGAUAUUAAUGCUUGCAUAAAGAUGAAGAUGUUAAAUUGGAGAUGGAUAGCCACGUGUGAGUGGAUUUGGUGGAGCCAUGCAUGCAUAUCAUUAUUUCAAGUCAAGAUGCUUAUCGGCACUAAUUGGUAUAUGCUAAUAUGCUAUUAAUUAGCAAGAGGUGGUUACAUGUUGGUAAGUGAUAACAAUCUUUUUGCAUGAGAUUGUUAUGAAUGAGGACUUUGAUGUUGGCGGCAGCUUUACAACACGAGCCGUCAGGAUGAGGAUGAUACUUAUAAAUACAGAGUCGCAAACAACGGGUAGGACCCCUGCAAAUCAAUACAAAAUUGCCCUGCGCAAAUUCUCACAACUUGUGAUUUUUCUUUUUUCCUUUUUUCGCUGACACAUCUUCCGUUGGCAUCAACAACAGCACUGUGGAAGCAACCGGUGAUAUCUUAAGUCGGCAUAGAUAGCUCUGUCACCGUAGAAUCAGUCGGUCUCGCAGUAUCUUCCGUUGGCAUCAACAGCACUGCGGCGAGAACGAUUGAUUAUCUAUCCAAGUCUCGGUCGAGAAGGAUUUCUGAAUCCUUGUUGGUCGAGGUCAUCUCAUCAGCCUUCUCGGCGAAGUGAGGUGUUACAAGUGACUACAUUCGGCACGUUGAAAGCCGAAUUUGAUAUUGAGCUUCGUAAAAAUAGUAACCUUGUCUUCAGGUUCGAGAGCCCAAGAGGCCGAGAUGUGUUCCUUUCUCGGCCGCAAUCGCAAGACGCAGAAGUCAGUAGCGCGACCCAACGCAACAUCAACAAAUUUACUCCUCGGCCGAGCGCGGCCGACGAGUUGGCACGCCCCGCAUUCACCGAAGGACGUAGUUAGCUCAUUAAUUACUCGGCCUGCGCGCCACGUAGGCUUGGUAGUUUCUAGGGUCAACAGGGGCAUAAUAAUUGUUCAGCGCAUUCGGCAGCUGAUAAAAAAUCUUUCGUCAAGUCAAACAUAUUUGGAGAUAGUAUUUUAUUCGGCCUUGCAAAAAUUCAAAGUGAAAGUUUUGAUACAAAAAGCCUUCGGCUUGGAAUAAAACAUCGUUGGCCUCCUCCAUUUAUAGUAGGGCCACUUUUGUUUUCUUUUGCUACAAAAUAAGAAUAAAUUAUUUUCUUAACCAUUCGGCUUUUUAGGCCGAUGCUUAAGAAAAUAAAGGGGGCAAUAAGAUGGUGCGGACUUAGAAAAACAAGAAAAAACAAGAUGGUGUACUCGGCAGACAAUUUUGGUCAAAUAAUGGUGUAUUUGGCAGACAGUUUUGGUCGAAUGAAUUUGCGAGAGCAUGCAUGACAAUUGUUCGGCAGACAGUUUUGGUCAAAUGAAUUUAUGGGAGCAUGCAUGGUUGCGAAGCUUGCUCAAUUCAGUUUCGAUGUGCGGUUUAAUAUAUAUAUAUAUAUAUAUAUAUAUAUAUAUAUAUAUAUAUAUAUAUGUCAGAAUGACCCAUCACAUGAAACAGAAAGAGAGACGCAUACGGAAAAGACAAAGGAAUAUUCAUGAAGUUAUGGUAGGCUUCCAUAUGGGCUAACAUUUUCGUUUGGUGAUGUAGUGAUCUGUGAAUUCCUAACAGCAUUAUUUGGCCGAAUACAAAUCUUUGGCCGAAUAAAACAUAGUUCGGCCGAAUAGAAUGGGUUAUAUAUAUAUAUAUAGGCUCUACAGCCAGUUCUUCUCGGUCUCGGCCCCAUUUACUCUCGAUCCCAGUAUUUUUGACCGAUACUAGUGUUUUCUCGACCCCGACAGUUGAGAGUUGGAGUAGUUCACGACACUGGCAGAGGGAGGUUAUGACAUUGGCAGAACAUAGGUGAUUUUAAUACCGAGAGACAAAAUUUGUUUCGGCAAUACGACGAAGUGUUGUUGGCUACGAGCAAUUAAUUUCCUUAACCAUUCGGCUUACGAGCCAAAGCUCACGGAAACUGGGGGGCAAUGUUUGGACCUGAUUUUACACAUCGGCCUAAGCAAUCGAGGCCGUUGAGUAAGCAUGGUUCUCAACCGUUGGAUAAGAAAGUUUAGAUAUUAUUGUUAAGAGAUAAUAUUAUGAUUUUUAAUCAUAAUAAUUAUUUUUUUUAUAAGUUAUCCCGGUUUUUUAUGCAAAAUAAAUGGGAUGGAGGCAAGUAGAGUUGUGAUGGGGACGUGAGCUUUGAAUCAGGUUGGUUUGUUUUGCUGGACAUGCAUACAUGGGAUGUAAAGAUAAUGAAGUGAUAGGGGAUAAAUCCAAACAUGCCAAAACGUGUAAUUUGCAAAAGAAUUGUGCAAUAUGGAGAUUCUAUCCUAAUGCAUGGUUUUUUGGGUUUGGUUUUGUGCACGUGGCAUGUGACAAUGGAGAUGAUGGUUUUGCAUGGUGAUGGCAAUAUGGGUUUAAAGGUUUCUCAUGUUUUUUUAAUAAGAAGCCUAGGUGGGUUAGAUCUCUAGUGAGAUGUGAUAAAGCCUAGGUGGGUUAGAUCUCUAGUGAGAUGUGAUAAAGCCUAGGUAGGCUUUAUUUAUCUGAAGGAUAUGUGCGGCGUAUUUGAUACGGUAUCAGGGUUUAUCUGAAGGAUAUGCGCGGCAUAUUUGAUACGGGAUCAAGGUCAAUUCCACAAAAUAGAGUUGCAGUUGGACUCUACAAAAUUAUUUGGCCGCGUCACACAACAUUUGCUCCUAUAAAUACAAAGGUAGUGGCAACGGAAGAAAGACCCCUGCAAAUCAAUACAAAAUUGCCCUGCGCAAAUUCUCACAACUUGUGAUUUUUCUUUUUCCUUUUUCGCUGACACAUCUUCCGUUGGCGUCAACAGCACCGUGGAAGCAACCGGUGAUAUCUUAAGUCGGCAUAGAUAGCUCUGUCACCGUAGAAUCAAUCGGUCUCGCAGUAUCUUCCGUUAGCAUCAACAUCACUGCGGCGAGAACGGUUGAUUACCUAUCCAAGUCUCGGUCGAGAAGGGUUUCUGAACCCUUAUUGGUCGAGGUCAUCUCAUCAGCCUUCUCGGCGAAGUGAGGUGUUACACGUUAUUACGUUCGGCAUAUUGAAAGCCGAAUUUGAUAUUGAACUUCGUAAGAAUAGUAACCUUGUCUUCAGGUUCGAGAGCCCAAGAGGCCGAGACGUGUUCCUUUCUCGGCCGCAAUCGCAAGAUGCAGAAGUCAGCCGCGCACCCAACGCAACAUCAACAAAUUUACUCCUCGGUCGACGAGUUGGCACGCCCCGCAUUCACCGAAGGACGUAGUUAGCUCAUUAAUUAUUCGGCCUGCGCGCCACGUAGGCUUUGUAGUUUUUAGGGUCAACAGUCACAUUUCAGGUGUCGGCUAACACUACUUAUUUUCGGUGUCCACUUGAAUAUAUGGGUCAGGGUGUGUCAUAAUGAACGCAGGCGAGCAUGGAUUCGCAACGGGGGUUCAAAAUCAAGUAGAUCCGAAUUGAAUCUCACAAAAACCCGACUGGAUUAUCAUCGGGAAGACUGUAGGCUCUCGAGGAUGGGUGGUUUCACCAGAAAAUGGUCAAACAAGGCCGGGGACAGGGACGACGCAAAAAUGGCAUCAUUUGGUCCUAGGGUUUCAGAAUAAGAGCAGCUAGGCUCCUUGUGGCUUGCGACGCAGCUUGGCGACUCGGCUUACACGCUUCAGGUCGUGGCUCGCGCGGGAGGUUGCAGCAACCCUAAUUUUCUUCUUUCUUUCUGUUCUCACACAAUCAUUAAUUCACCACAACAACAUAUAAGCAAAAUAAUAUUAUAAUUCGAAAAGCAUAAAAUUGGGUUCAUGCACUAUGUUGAAGAUUUCAUGCAAUUAGAGCUGGAAAAAAAAUCAAAAUUGAAACCGUAUUUUAGAAGUUACUUAGAUUGUAUGAUCAAAAUUUUGAGCUGUUUUGUAGCAGAAAAUAGCCUCUAGAUUCAUAGCGCAACGUCUAGAGUGUGCUGAUAACAUUUUGUUUCAUAUUUUACUAAAAGAAAGGGAAAUGGUGUGGUGAUAGUGGUGGAGAAAAAGACUCGGAAAAAUUGGUGUAUGUUCCCUUGUGCCAAUGCCUUUAUUUAUAGUAAACAGAAAGAAGAAGCAAACUUGCUCACCAAAAACACAUAGUCUAAUAGAAAAAAAAAAUCAUCUAAAUUACAUAGAAAUCCUAAUUCAAAUCUACCAAAAUUUACCGAAUUAUACUACAUCAAUAUUAAAUGUAACAAUAUUGACUAUGAUCCUACAGUUUUAUUUGCCAGUGUAUGUCUUUUAGCUAGCUUUAUAAUAACUUAUCAAUUUGAAUUUUUUGUCCCAACAAGUAAGCUAAUAUAUAUUAAAAAAUUAGUAUGUGUACACACACAAGAGAGCCAUAUAGUCUUUGGUCUUAUUGUCUCAAAAGUCAGAAGAGAAGACCCGAAGAACGAGCACUCCUCCAUAGUCCACAUUUCUCUACGGUCAUAUUCGGCGGACAAAAUUCUAUGCUCCAACGUCUUCGCUCUCCUUUUUUUUUUUUUUUUUUUUUUUUUUUUUUUUUUUUUUUUUUUUUUUUUUUUUUUUUUUUUUUUUUUUUUUUUUUUUUUUUUUUUUUAGCAAAUGAUAUUAUUUAUAUUAAAUGAUUGAGAUAACAUGUCAAAUUUCACACGUAACUAGCUAUAAUAAUGUUAUUUAAAUUCAUCUUUGACGAGAAUUGAAACUAAGACCUUACUUAUAAGUGAAAAUUAAUAUCAUUAACUCGUAGUACUAAAUAACACUUUAAUCUUUAAAAUUUACAAUCAAACUAGAUUUUUUUUCUCCUUUCUAUAUCCCGUGUUCCAAUUUCCACAUCCACACUUACAAAGUCGUACACGAUGACAUAGCACCAUACCCAUAUAUGGCAUUUGAUGUUUCUAGUCCUCGACUAACAUGAAACGUACAGUCGAUUCUUUCCCUUAGUCCCACUAGUCACAUGUGAUUCCUAUUCUUUUAUAAACAACUUUUUUUUAUUUAUUUUUUUUCAGCCAAAGAAGUUAAUUAAAAUUUUCAAACUGAAAAAUUAUUUAAUCAAUUACAAUAGCAUAAUAUUCAAACUGGAAUUUUUUUUUUUUUAGAGAAUGAUUUUCUACUCAAGAGGUGUGGGGAUUGAACCAUGCCACAUAAGGGGUUAGCUCUUAACUAAAUAUCAAACUCAACUCGAAUAUAAUACAUCAUCGCGAUCCAUAUGAGCAAAACCUGAGACGACUCACUUGAAAAUAGAGAUAAUUAUCACUAAAUCAUAGUACUAGCUGGUCACUUUAAUACAGUACUCACACUUGUAGGCUUUGGCUACACUAGCAUCAAUUAACUCUUGAUAUAACGUAAUUUUACUUCUUAAUAUUAUUCCCAAUUGAUUAACAAAACUACUAUAACAAAAACAAAUAAUAUAACUAAAAUAUGGACUUACGAAAAAUAAAAGAAAAUGAUUUUCGUACAAUUUUCCUCACUCUACGCAUCUCUAUUUAUUUUAAUCUAUCGAUUCUCAUUUAUUUCAUUUAAUUCAAAUACUAGAAAUAAAGUGGCAUUAAGACUAAGAAGGUACAAAUCCCAUCAGCUCAUGGGCAUUAGUGGAAUUUCGCCCUUCUUUAACUGCAUUGUCCCUCCAUAUGCAAGUUAAUUUCACGCGGAUACAAACCCAAUACUUAACUAAGCAACAACAGGCCCACAUUUGACCAACAACUAAUUUAGUCGUAUUUACAUACACACCCCUGUCCCACCACCACCAAGUCAAAACGACGACGUCACCUUCGUCCUCAAAAACUCCUCCAACCUCCACUUCCUUCCAAAACACAACAAACUCAAACCUCUCCGUCUGAGAAACUCUGGAGCACCAAACAAUCAACUCGCCACUAAAAAUGGGGAGGGAGCGGGACCAUCUCUACAUCACCGUUCCCAACCUCUUCCGCUGCCCCAUCUCCAUGGACGUCAUGCGCUCCCCCGUCAGCCUCUGCACCGGCGUCACCUACGACCGCGCCAGCAUCCAGCACUGGCUCGAAUCCGGCCACGACACCUGCCCCGCCACCAUGCAGAUCCUCCAGUCCAAAGACGUCAUCCCCAACCUCACCCUCCGCCGUCUCAUCAACCUCUGGGCCCAGUCCCACGGCCCUUCCUCGCCGGCCUCCUCUCCCUCUCUCUCCUCCCAGCACCUCGCCUCCCUCGUUCAAUUUCUCCGCAAUGAGAACGAGACUGAGAAAUUCAGCCAAAAUAUCGUAAACUCAUUGUCGAAGACUGCCGAUUUCGCGAGGGUCGGCGAGGAGAACCGGAGGUUUGUGGCGAAUUUCGACGGCUUCGUCUCCGCCAUUGUGGGGAUUCUGAACAGAGAAGGCGUCGAAAUCGAAGUUCUCGAAUCGGUAAUUAAGGUUUUGGAUUCGAUUUUGCCUCAAAGCGGAGUCAACGAGCAAUUGAGCCGAUUUAUUGCGAAGAGCAACGGCAAUUACCUCGCUUCAAUUCGAUUGGUACUGCAGAAAGGAAGCCUGAGCUCGAAGAUCGAAUCCGUCAAGGUUUUGGAUUCGAUCGCGCUCGACGCCGAGUCGAAACGAUUAAUCGCGGAGAAGGAAGGCUUAUUGUCCGUAUUCAACGAUCUGUUGAGCUUGGAAACGUGUCAGGACCUAUACGGCGCCGUUUUCUCAUGCUUAGCAUCAUUGUCCGUGAAUCGGUCGAUUAAAGCCGAGCUCGUCCGGUUCGGACUAGUCCGAGUUGUAACGUCAACGCUGCUAAAGCCGGACACUAGCACUACCCUUGCGGAGAAGUGUUUGAAGCUGUUAUCCACCAUUGCCACGUGCGCCGAGGGCCGGUCGGCGAUCAGCGGGGAGGAGAAGUGCGCGGAGGCGGUGGCGGAGAGGCUGAUGAAGGUGUCGAGGGGGGCGACGGAGGACGGCGUGGCGGUGCUGUGGAGCGUGUGCUGCAUGUUGGGGGACAAGAGGGCGAGGGAGAGCGUGGCGGGAGGAAAUGUGGUGGCGAAGGUGUUGUUGGUGAUGCAGAGUGGGUAUGGAGAGGGGCAUUUUGUGAGGAGGAUGUGUGGGGAUUUGGUCAAAGUUUUGAGUGUUGGGUUAGGGUUGGGGUUGAGGUAUGACACCAAGACUAUACAUAUCAUGCCUUGUUAGAAAUUGUUCAUGAUGAUAAUCUUGCUCAUUUAUUUUUUUUUUGGAAAUUGUGAAUUUGGAUAAAAAAUUUUAUAGAAACAAAAAGGAAAAUUCUUUUUAGUUUUGUAGUCAUUGAUCAUCAUUAUGUGAUUGAUGUUGUAUGAUUAGUAGAGAUAUUUUUGUGUGCUGUGAACAUGACCCGGUAUAUUAAGAAUAGUAUUACAAUUCGUUGGAAACUUUAAAAAAAAAAUUCCAAGAAAUUGUAUGUGCUGUGUUUCCGGAAAAAUUUCUUGGGUUUGUGGGGAUGUGAAUAUGCAAAAUUAUGUUGAUAAGAUGGCUUAAGUGAUUAAAAGAAUGAAGAAAUAAACAACUUUUUGUUAAUCUCAUGUUAAUCUUCUUUUUUGAUUUGUUGUUUCUUUUAUUGUUAAUUCAGAAAAGUUUCAUGAUGAAUUUGUUUGGACUUUGAAAAAGGAUUAGGGACAAGAAUCCAAUCCAUCGUAAAAGGGGCAAGUUUUGAUAUGAUUUGCAAGUUAUAACUUGUUAAGUAAGAGAACGUAAGGAGAUCUAUUGUAUACUUGGGUAAAUUUAAUUGGUCUUAAGUUCAAAUUUAUUUCUAAGUAAUUUUGGAGUAAUUGUGAUCAAAUAGUUGUAUGCUUUUUUUUAGAGUGGACUUACAAGUCACAGUUGUAUUGCCUCAACUACGUUUUAUACCAAUAAUACAAUACCAUGCAGAGAAAUUUACACAUAAUGUUGUAUAUUUGGCAUGAGACUAUCUUAGUGAAAAUGUAUCCAUGCCAUAGAAGUCGUCCUCUCUUUUGUGGGUGAGGUAGUUCUGGGCAAUGAACCUGUAUGAAAAAAUAUGAGUUGUUGAGCUAUGCACGAGUGUCAAACGUAACAUGGCUUAUUUUCGUAUCCCUGGUAAACAAACUACAAAAUCGUUGCUCUUAGAACAGUAUGUGUUUAAUUUCAAAAACGAGACAAAAAUGAUUGUAAAGAAAAAACACUAAAUAAGGAGACAAAUUCAGGCUAGUUUGCGUUCGAAUUUUACAGGGUAAGGCAACAACUUGGCUGUAGUAGGCAUCUGGUUUGCAAAAAUCCAGCAGAAAACAAUUGUAUGGACAACAAAUUGCGAUGCUCCGAUGCGACUCUCUAACAAUGUAAAGCUGUUUUGAAGUGGUGAAGGAACAAGGGUCAUGGCGCCAGAUAACCGAGUUGUAUCAGCAACCAUUUUUAUGAGCCUGCUGCCUCGGCUUCCAUGCUCGAUUCUGGUAACUUUGUCAUCUACAACUCGGACUCAAAUAUCAUUUGGCAGAGUUUUGAUACUCCAACCGAUACCAUUGUAUCUGGCCAGCGAUUGCUGGCUAGAAAGAAGCUUGUCUCCAGCAUCUCCGACACAAAUCAUGCAAGCGGAAGAUUUAGACCUUCAAUGUAGCGUGAUGGGAACCUAGAGAUGUACCUGGAGUGUCCAAUUAUAUUACAACCUGAUUGAUCGGUAUGCUUACUCAAAUAGUGGGACGUACAGGGCUGGAGACAAUGAGUCACUCAACGUUGAUCACAAUGGACAGUUAUAUCUCCUCAGUUACAAUAUAAGGAACGCUACGAAUCAGAAAGAGCUGUUUGACACACACACGUAUGUACCACAUGAUGAUUGACUUUGAUUGUAUUACUCCAGUUAUACUUCCAUACUAUUUAUAUUUAAUUUUAAAUUUUAAAUGAUUUUUAACCGCACGAUAUACAUGAACGGACAUAAUUAUGGGAUCCUCCAAAUUCCUGAGAAAAGGACGUCGAACAAGAAUCUUUGGUUGCUCCAUUGUCUCAUUUGACGGACUGAAAUAACGGAGCUAACAAACUGUAAGUACAAAGGACGAAAGUGAAAAGAAAAAGGCUAAAGGGAGGUAAGUGAUAAUUCGAUUUAAACUAACGGGACCAUGAGUGCAAUCUGACUCGCUCCUUAACUUGGAAAAGCCAACCAGGGCGUUCCAAGUGUGAUGAUGAACACGUGCCGAAACACCAUUGGAUUCUGGAGGGGAACCAGUGAGGCCUCCCGCAGCAAAGCCACACAAAAUGAUACACAAGCGAUCUGAGUCGUCGGCGAGGAUCCUUUUCCGUGAAAAAUCGAUCGAAGAAGCAAAGGCAGGUCACUGAAUAAAGAAAUAAAAACACAGAAGCUGAAGCUGUUGCGGGAAAAAGCUUGACCAAAUCAGGGUUCCCGAAUUCGAAUCGCCAACGAGGUUAACCAGAUUAGGGUUUUAACAAAAUUUUUAAGUUACUUUUACCAUGUUGUAAUUGCUUAAUUUUUUUUGCUGAAAUUCAGAAAUUUGCAGGAAAACUGAAAUGGGGGACGGCCUAUGGAACCGCCAGCAGCAGCAGCAGCAGCAGCAUCAACUGGGUCCCUCUGGCGGCGUGCAUAAACGACCUCGUUCCGACUACGGUAACUCCUCUGUGGCCAUUUCUCAUAGUUUUUUUCUUUAAUUAGAUGAAAUUGCGAUUGCAUUCGUUUGCAUUAUAGAUUUAGUUGUCAAACCAUUUAAUUUCUGACUUCUUGUUUAUAAUUCGAGCGAUAUUAUAAUCUAAUCGAAACUAUGGGGAGAGGGGGAUUCGAACUUGGGUGCAGAUGGGGAGCACACUGCUCGAGCCAACUUAGCUAGGCCAAAGUCUGCUUCUUCGUGUUAUAAGUGUUUUUACUUUAGUGGUUCUUGAUGGGUUUCGGGUUUCAAUGUAAAUUAUGUUUCAAAGUGGUGAAAUUUAUGUGAAGGGUCAAGGGUAUCUAGACAAAGGAUUCCAGUUCAGUUGUCUGAUGACUCUGCUUGUAUGUAUCUCCCCUUACUCUAGUAGAUAUGCAGAUUCUGGUUUUGUAGCUAGGUGUCUCUUUUCUUUUCUUUUAUAAAAAUUACAAUAAAUGUUUUGCUUCCAUAGUUCCAUGUGUACUCUUACAUCUUCGGGGUCUUCUUGAAGCAUAUAAUAUAGUCUUAGCCUAUCUGUUCCACUUACUACAAUUGCGAUCAACACUCAUACUCGUAUGAUUCCAUAUAAUAAUGUAUCUUCCACGAAAGCUUUACUAAGCAUAUGAUUUCUGUUAUUAUUUUCUUUGUAACCAGAUCACAGUUUUUGGCCUUCAUGUUUCCUUCGGUCCAUUGUUAAUGAUAUUAUUUACUGGAUUUCAUAUUUAGAGCAACUUUUGAAUGAUUUCCACAUUAGCGGUAGUUUUAGAAGUUACUGGUUGUUAUUAAGUUAUGUUCAAGGGGGGAAAACCUUGUUCGGUGUGUUUGCUAAGACCUGUGUGAAAAUGGAAACUACUACAAAAUCAUUCAGGUUUCCAAUUACAUUGCAAGGUACUUAAGAAUGGAUCUUUUCCUGAACCCAACCAAACCCCAAACCUCUGAAAUUAUCAAGUAGAUUCUUUCCUUUUAGUGCGGUCAGUCUUCCAAUCUAAUACUAUUCUUCAAUAAUUAUGGUAAUAAGAUCCUCCAUACAUAUUUAUAAUGCAAUUAUGUUUAUAUACAAAUUGAUGCAUAUUAUUGGUAUACAUUUUGAUAUAACCAAAUUCCCCUUUUUUUUCAUUUAGUUAUUUGUUUGCUGAGUUGUUCUUGUUAUAACUUCUUAGUCACUGAUCAAAAGCCUAGACUUGUAUAUUGUAUGUAGAUGUUUUGAUUGGUAUGUUUUCUUUGUACUUUUGAACAUUGGUGGCAGUUUUACUUGUUCAAAUACCACCUAGUUGUUAGUAGUGAUAUUGUUCAUUCCGCACCUUGGGUCUAACUCUGCACAUUAAAGAGUAGGUUUUUACCUUGUUAAUUGACGGGGCAUACUCUACUUCCACCUCAUGCUUCUCAAUUGGUUUCUUGAUUUAAGUUCUUCCAUCUGCUUUUUUAUUUUUUAUGCCUUUUCUCUUGUUCUAUAGUUGUAAUAUAUACAGCUGAAUUAGGGUCUAUUUGUUAAUGUUUUCUCAAUGUUGUGCCUUUAAAUAUAGGUAAAUUAUGCGCUUGGUGCAUUAAGUUUGUUAAACAUGGGAAACAUAUUCUGUAAAAUGAUCUCAACUUUUGUUCUUCAAGUUAGGAAACAACCAUUCCACUAUUUAUGUUGUUUUCAGGGGGAUUGUGAAACAUGGUGAGUAGUUAGAAACAAAAAAAGGAACCUUUCAACUGGAAUAAAUGUUUCUGUCAUCCUCAGAGGCUCUGUUGUUGGUCCUCACUUUUCACGUAUAUCUGCUCUCAAAAACCUAUACCAAAAAACCAAACACCCUAUCGCCUCUCUCUUCCUUUCUUUCUCCAUCUCUCUUUGCCUCCUCAUCUCUCCCACUUUCUCUCUACACCCUCAAAACCUGCACUCCAGCCCCACUCCGAACGCCUGACCCAUUCAUCGAAACCAAUAUGUGGAACCUCUUCUCAACCUCCCCCGCCCCCGCCCCCGCAAUGUUGUCGUCUCGUCUCUGAUUUGAAAACAUUUGGUUGUGGGUUGUUUUCAAUAUAAUAAGUUGGACGUGAAUAAUUGUUAGUGAUAAAUUUGGAUGGUAGAGUUUGGUAUUAUUUCAAUUUAAACUGGAGUGGUCAAGAAUUUGGUAGAACUUGUAAAAUGGAGAAACUGAAGAUGGUGAAUCAGACUUGGUUUCAGUUUAAACGGGGAUAGUUAUACCGUACUUGUAUGGGAUAUAGAGCGAUGUUGGAUGCAGCUUUAUUUUAUUGUAUCGGUUUUGUUUUGGUGUCGGAAUGGUUAUACUGUACUUGUAUCUGUUUCUUUAUCUCGUUUUGGUGUUGCUUUAUUUUUUUAUUGCUUUUAAAUCUGAAAUGGUUAUACUGCACGUGUAUUGGAUAUAGGUCUGAUGUUGGAUGUUUAUUGAUAUGAAUGUUCCAUUUAAUAGGGCUCUAACUCACAAUGGUUUUGGUUAGCUUUGAUGCGGGCAUGGGAUAAAUCAAUUUCACUAUUGUGCCGUUUAAAAGGGCUCUUAACUCACAAUGUUUUAAUAUAUUUGUUUGGUUCAUUGAUACGUCUUGUCAAAAUGUGUUUACAUUAGUUACGUGUUUGAACUUUGAUUAUAAUAUUUAGUUGAAAAUAGUUUUUCAAAAUAUUGCUGCCUAAUACAAAUUCAGUAAUUUAAUUUUUUUCUCAUACUAGCACUGAACACAUUUUCACUGUUUUUGUUUUUAGAAACAUUUUUUCAAACUAUUCUACCAGAUGCAUUAUCUAAUGUUAAAUUACAAGAAUGUUAUAUCAUUUUCAUUUUCUGAAAGGUUUUUAUGCAGAUGGUUUUGUAAAACAUCACCUGAUAGGCUCUUACUUUUCUGUAUUGUCAACCUGUCUUCAGGUCAAGAGAUGCAUGGUUAUUUUGCGCGAGAGGAUGAUCUUGGUGGUCCUAGGACUGUAAAGGAUAACAGAUCAAUCGGAUCAGCAUAUGACCGUUAUCUUCAGAAUGCGGUGACUUUCUUAAGCAUUUGAAACUAUGCCUAUUAUUAUUUGUGUUACAUCUCUCUGUUUCUGUACUAAAACAUUUGUCCUACUUGCUUCUAAAGGAAAUGGCUUCGUACACUUCUGGAGAAGCGAGUACUUUUGGUGGAGCUGGAAUGGGAAGGGCUGUUGGUGGUGGAAUGACAGGUCCUCCAAUGGCUGAUCAUUCUAUGAGGGGCCGUCCUGGAGCUAUGUCUUCUGAUGUACUAACAAAUGGUCGAAAUAUGAAUCUUGCUAAUCAGCUCCCAGUUGAUUCAAUGCCUAGGCCUGGACGUGAAACAGUUCCUUUACCUCUGGAUGCAUCCAGCACUUUAUAUGUUGAAGGACUUCCUCCUGACAGCACAAGGAGGGAAGUAGCUCGUAUCCUUUAUGAUGCUUAAGAAUUAUUGCAUAUUGCUUUCCAAUCUUAUUGUUUAACUCAAUAGUUUUUCCAUCGCUCCUCCUUUACAUAACUCUUAAGAUAUCUUUCGUCCUUUUGUGGGAUACAAAGCAGUGAGGCUUGUGAGCAAAGAGUCCAAACACGUAUGUGGGGGUGGAUUAUUGUAAACAAUUACUUUUCUUAGUCAUUCUGUUUUUCUUGAUCACUCUGACUUGAGAUUGUCGUUGUGCUACUUGGUUCGACUCUUGGGAAGUUUAUAAUCUUUCUUCACACUAAUAUUCCGGUUUGUCCAUAAUGCAGCGUGGCGGGGAUCCUCUUAUUCUUUGUUUUGUGGAUUUUGAAAAUCCAGCCUGUGCAGCAACUGCUCUGAGUGCCUUGCAAGGUGAUUGCUUUUUAUUGUCAUCAACCUUGGUGACUAUCAGUGUCAAAGAAAGCUUAAUUCUUUCUUUCUGUUUUUAUUUGUUUCCUUUAUAGCUUCACAAGUGUUAUUUUCUAUCAUACCUUAUUCAAUCAUGUAAAGGGUAAAUUUAUGUUAAAAUUCUUCCAUGCAUAGUAGGUGUAAAGAGGUUGAGGCAGUUCAUAAAAAUGUUAUAGAUGGCUUCUUGUGAUUUAAUAUUGGAGUUCAUAAUAUCUCUACACUACAUAUCGUGUAGAACUAGCUGGAUUGCUCAUUAUUUUCCCAUGUUUGUUGUUUUUGAAAAGCUGGAAGAUGCUGACAUUUGUGUUGCUGGAAGAUGCUGACAUUCAUGUAAUUCCAUGCAUAGUGUUUUAGUAUGUGUAAAGACGUUGAGGCAGUUGAAAAAAAAAAUGUUAUAGAUGGUUUCUUGUGAUUUAAGAUUGAAGUCCAUAAUAUCUCUACACUCCCGAUUGUGUAGAACUAGUAUUGCUCAUUAUAUUUUCCCGUGCUCGCGGUUUUUGAAACGCUGGAAGAUGCUUACAUUUGUGUUGCGUUUGCAGGUUAUGAAAUGGAUGAACAUGCUCCUGAUUCUAAUUACUUGCGGCUGCAGUUUUCUCGGUUCCCUGGUCCUAGGUCUGGACCUGGCCGUAACAAGAGGUGAUAGGCAUUAGGUGAUGAGAAAUAUCUGUUUUUGAUGUAAUCAAGAUUGCAUUUGCUUUUAAUACAUUCCAUAUAUAUAUAUAUAUAUAUAUAUAUAUAUGUAUUGCUCAGGCUUGGGCACACACCAACUGUAAGCACUUCUGAUGCACAUUGUUGUUUCGAGGUAGUGAAUCAGAAACAGUUUUAUAGUUGUGCAAUUAAACAGAGAUCUGAUUUUGCACGUCCAUGGUCUACAAAAUUUGUAAGUGUUUUUAGAAGUGGCAAGUUUCUCAGGCACAAACCCUUUAAAAACUAGUGUGUUUUUUUAGCAUGGAUUUGCAGGCUUCUGUUACAUAUAUCAUAUGGUAAGUGAUUUCCGCUCGCUUUUUCUCCUUGUACAACUCCUUUUUUCCUAGUUUAAGGGUUGGAUAAAUCAAAUCAAAGGAGAAUAAGUGGAAAGAAACAUAAGGUGAAUGCAGGAGGAGAAAAUGGGAACGUGCCGAUGACUACCGAUCAAACUCGUCUUUUCUUGUAACUUCCAACUGCAUGGAGAAAAGCAAGACACUGCGUGAUGAGAAUGGGCAUUGCAUGGUGUCAUGUCUUGUGGUGUUAGAAAUUUGAUCCGAGUCCUUCCCAUUUGGACUACAGUUAAGGACAGGCUCUACUAUGUCCUCCCAAUGCUAAGCACUAGGUAGUGGGCUGCCGACUAGUCUAUGUGCCACUGUACAUAUCACAUGGGCUUUCAACCCAUAAUCCUAUCCUGCUAGAGCUUCCCCCUACCCUUCUUGAAAUUAGUAUACCGUCAGGUAUGUUGCUGUCUCUCAUAUCACGUGACUAAUGAUUCGUUUGGAAUUACUUCUUUCAGAAACACUUAUACUACAAGUGUUUUUAUUGUAGACACGUUAAAUCUUUACAAACAAUCCAAGUGUUCAUUGAAAAAUAUUUGAAAGUGCUUCUUGAAAAAGCAUUUGGCAAGUGCUCCUCUAAAGAUAGUUUAUACGAGUCAAAAGAAUUUCUAAUAUUUUAUCUUUAUGCCAAUCGCAACAGAACACAUUUAGCUUUUCCAGAAUCAAUCCUAAACUAGUUCUAAGCAAAGAAAGGGCAAUAUAACAUAAGGACAACGAAGAAUCUCUCUAACAUUAAAGGUUAUGUUUGUUCGGUCACUAGACUCAAACAAAAGAGAAAAGUAGAAGUGGGCAAUAAAUUGGUUUUCGAUUACCAUCAAAUUGGCACAACAUUCGGCAUUGUUUCGCAAAAGACUGCUUUUUUUUCUUAGCAUUAGUUUUACACACACUCUAGUGUGUGGUAAAAACAAGCUAGGGUUUGGUUGGAGAACAAGUCUGAGCAGUUACAUGCCAUGUGGGCUGGAGGGUUUCGUUUGGUGCCAUUACUCUUUUUUCUUGUUCUAUCAUCCUUGUCGAACUGGAAGAGAAAAAGGAGGGGAAAAGGGAGUUUAGGGCAAAAAGGAUACUGAGUUUAUAAACCAGGAAAUGUCUAAGCAAUUUGUUUGUGCCAACGUGACUGUUAUCUAAAUAUAGCGUACUUGUGGUAUAAAAGAAAAAGGCAAAAAGGGUAACUGUAAAUAGUUGUUGUACUUAAGUGUAAAUUGUCCCACAACUUGUCCAGGGACCAGUGCAUAUAAGUUGUAGCUGCAAGUGCAAGGAGCAACCUCUGGAUUAGAUAGACGGAUGGACUUGGUUUGGUAUGAUUCCAAGUCGUCGUUGAUGUUUCUUCUUCUUUGUGGCCCAGCCACCCAGGACUAUAGUCCUUAUUUGGUAGGUAUUUAUUGCAAGGCUAACUAUAGGAUUGGAGAUAGACAAAGGGAGAUGGGACAUGGAGAAUGGUUUGCCAAGUUUGUUUAGAAUGGAUCGGGAUCAAUGCCCGUUGGAUCCCUAGUAAUUGAAUAUUAGUUAAAGAUUCAACGUCUAUGAAUCUCGGUCUAUGUUAUGAACUGUUUUUACAAUUUUCGUUCAUUGUGUAUCACGUAAUAUGCAUAAUGUUAGACAAUCCACUUGUUUUAUUUGAGACAACUGUAUUUGAUGCACUUCCUAAUUUCUGUUUUCUGACUUGCUUCAAUCUACAUUCUCUUGAUAUUUUUUUUUCCAUUUUACUCGGUUUUAUGAUAGUGAGAACAUUCAACAUGGCCUCUUCUUCCUCAAGUUGCUUCUUUGUGAUACGUAUAUCUGUUUUUGUACUAAAACAUGUAUCCUACUUGCUUUUAAAGGAAAUGCCUUCGUACACUUUUGGAGAAGCGAGUACUUUUGGUGGAGCUGGAAUGGGAAAGGCUGUUGGUGGUGAAAUGACAGGUCCUCCAAUGGCAUGAUCAUUCUAUGAGGGCCAGUCCUGGAGCUAUGUCUUCUGAUCUAUUAACAUAUGGUCGAAAUAUGAAUCUUAUUAAUCAGCUCCCAGUUGAUGCAAUGCCUAGGCGUGGACGUGAAACAGUUCCUUUACCUCUGGAUGCAUCCAGCACUUUAUAUGUUGAAGGACUUCCUCCUGACAGCACAAUGAGGGAAGUAGCUCGUAUCCUUUAUGAUCCUUCUAUGAUGCCUAAGAAUUAUUGCAUAUUGCUUUCCAAUCUUAUUGUUUUACUCAAUAAUUUUUCAAUCGCUCAUCCUUUACAUUACUCUUUAAGAUAUCUUUCGUCAUUUUGUGGGAUACAAAGCAGUGAGGCUUGUGAACGAAGAGUCAGGUUUGUCCAUAAUGCAGCGUGGCGGGGAUCCUCUUAUUCUUUGUUUUGUGGAUUUUGAAAAUCCAACCCAUGCAGCAACUGCUCUGAGUGCCUUGCAAGGUCAUUGCCUUUUUCUUUUCAUCAACCUUGGUGACUAUCAGUGUCAAAGAAAGCUUAAUUCUUCGUUCUGUUUUUAUUUGUCUCUUUAAAGGUUUGUAAAUUUUUUUUCUAUCGACCUUAUUCAACCAUGUAAAUGGAAAAUUUAUGUUAAAAUUCUUCCAUGCAUAGUAGGUACAAAGUGGUUGAGAUAGUUCACAAAAAUGUUAUGGAUGGCUUCUUGUGAUUUAAUAUUGGAGUCCAUAAUAUCUCUACACUCCAGAUCGCGUAGAACUAACUAGAUUGCUCAUUAUUUUCCCGAGCUUGUUGUUUUUGAAACGCUGGACGAUGCUGACAUUUGUGUUGCGUUCGCAGGUUAUGAAAUGGAUGAACAGGCUCCUGAUUCUAAUUACUUGCGGCUGCAGUUUUAUCAGUUCCCGGAUCCCAGGUCAAGACCUGGCCGUAACAAGGGGUGAUAGGCAUUAGGUGAUGAGAAACAUCCGUGUUGAUGUAAUCAAGAUUGCAUUUGCUCUUAUACAUUAUAUAUAUUGCUCAGGCUUGGGCACACACUAAUUGUAAGCACUUCUGAUGCACAUUGUUGUUCUAGGUAGUGAAAUCAGAAACAGUUUUAUAGUUGUGUUGAACGAUCUGAUUUUGCACGUCCAUGGUCUACAAUUUACUCAAGGAAUGUUUUAAUUCUGAAUUGAGAUUGUACUGUGCAUAGACUACCGCAAAAUUAGUACAGAGAUAGUUUCCCUAUAGAUUGUUUUCAUAUACUAGAGGACUUCCAUGGCCAGGGUAUCUUGCCACCAUAUUGUCCCCGUACAUUUUCCCUCCAUAUUAGUUAUAUAUUUAUCUGGACAUUCUAACCUAAUGAAGUCCUACAAUCAUCAUAACUCAUUUUACUUAGCUCAUGCUCCUUACAAUAUUUGAUGAACUCACAUAAGAAACUCAUAGAAAUUUGUUCCCAGUCAUUACCUUUGGACUGCAGUUGAAGCUUAUGAUACAUCCUCCCAAUGCUAAGCACUAGCUAGUGGGUUGUCGACUAAUCUAUGCCACCGUACACAUCGCAGGGGCUUUGAACUCUGUCUCAAUUAUUGUAAAGACGUUAGCCUCUUCAAUGAAAGAACCCAUAGUCCUAUGCUGCUAGAGCUCCCCCCACCCUUCUUGGAAUUAAUAUAGUGUUAGGACAUAUCGCUCUAUUUCUCACAUCACGUGACUAAUGAUUUCUUUGAAGUUACUUCUUUAGGAAACACUUAUACUACAAGUGCUUUUAUUAUAUAGAAUCUUUAUAAGCAAUCCAAGUGUUCAUUGAAAACGUAUUUGAAAGUGCUUCUUGAAAAAGCAUUUGGCAAGUGCUUCUUGAAAAAGCAUUUGGCAAGUGCUUCUAUAAAAGAGCUUAUUGGGUCAAAAGAAUUUCUAAGUUUUUUUUUCUGCCAAGCACAACAGAAUACACAUUUUAGCUUUUUCCAGAACCAAUCCCAGACAAGUUCUAAGCAAAGAAAGGGCGAUACAGCCUGAAGACAACGGAGAAUUUCCCUGACGUUAAAGGUUUUGUUUGUUCGGUCACUAAACCCAAAAAAAUAGAAAACUUGAAGUGGGCAAUGAAUUGGUUUUCGAUUUCCAUUAAAUUGGCACAACAUUCGGCAUUGUUAUGCAAAAAUAUACUUUUUUCUUAUCAUUAGUUUUACACACACUCUAGUCUGUGGUAUAAAAUGAGCUAGGGUUUGGUUGGAGAACAAGUCUACGUGGUAUCAUCACUUACAUUACAUGCCAUGUGGGCUGGAGGGUUUCAUUUGGUGCCAUUACUCCUUUUUCUGUUCUAUAAUCAUUUUGGAACUGGAAGAGAAAGUGGAGGGGAAAAGGUAGUUUAGGGCAAAAAUUUUCCAAUCAAUUUUUUGGCAGUGUGACUGUUUUCGAAAUAUAGAGUAGUUGUGGCAAAAAAGAAAAAGGAAAGGGGUAAUUGUACAUACACAUUGUUCCAAAGGGUCAGUUGUCCCACAACUUGUCAAGGGACCAGAGCAUUAAGUUGUAGCUGCAAGUGCAAGGAGAAAGUUGUGGAUUAGAUAGACCAAUGGAUUUGGUUUGGUUUAAUUCCAAGUCAUCGUCGUUUCUUCUUCUAUGUGGCCCAGCCGCCCAGGACUUUAGUCCUUAUUUGGCAGGUACUUAUUACAAGGUUAGAUAAAGGGAGAUGAUACAUGGAGAACGGUUUGCCAAGUUUGUUAGAGUGGAUCCGGAUCCAUGAGUGUUGGAUCUCUAGUAAUUGAAUCUUUAGUUAAAGAUUCAAUGUCUCAACGAUCUAUGCUAUACAUUUGUCUUUACGAAUUUUCAUUCAUUGUGUAUUACAUAAUAUUCUUGACCCUCUUAUAUGUGACUUCGGCCGACUUCUAUCACCCGAUAUCGUUGUGUAAUAACUUGAUGAGAUAGCCAAUGCUUAGGUCAUCUUCAAUGGAGAUGGCUAAAGGUCAAAAAGCUAAAAAAUAGUAUGAUUUGUUCAAAAACUCAUCUCCAACCAAUGUCAGAGCUAUAAUUAUAUGGAGCCCACCAUGCCAUUAUUUGGCUAGUGCCCCUUUCUUAGCCCCUUUUUGGGGCCUAGCUCCUCGAUUAUGCCAUCUGCAAUGAAGAGGGCUAAAUGUCUAAAAGCCAAAAAAUGACAUGAUUUACCCAAAAACUCAUCUCCAACCAAUAGCUAGGUUAUAAUUCUAUGGAUUCAACAGUUAGAUUUGGAAACAUCCAAUGUUAGUUUAAUUAAAUUAAAGUAUAAACUUAAAACUAAUAAAUUAUUAGGGAGCCUAUGUUUUAGCCCUUUCGGUUGGAGAUGGUAUAUGAGUAUGGCCGACACUAUUCAUUUAAAAAUAAUUUUUUUGUUGGGUUAUAAUUUUGGAUGAGGCUAUGUCUAGCCCUUUUGGUUGGAGAUGACCUUACAAUGAUUAAUUCAAAUUCAAUGGUUAAAUUUGAAAAUAUCCAACAAAACAUCCAACAGUAGUUUAAUUAAAUUAAUCAAUAAUUUUAAGUAUAAACUCAGAACUAAUAAAUUAUUGAGGGAGUUAUGUUUAGCCUUUUCGGUUGGAAAUGAUAUAUGAGUAUGGCCUAAUACUGUUUAUUAAAAAAAAAAUCUUUAGUUAUCUCUGCUAAUCAAUAAAACACUCAUUGUCAACCAAAAUCCUAUGAAAUUACCAGUUUAACCUUCUAAUUAAAACAAAACAUGAAUAAGAAAUAUGGGGCGGAAAUUUAAUUUUACACAAACAAAAUUUGUUGUUUUUUUUUUUCAAAACUUCAUCUAUAUAUAAUUCUAACAUAUCUCUAAUUAUAAAAUAAAUAAAAAAUAAAAAUAAAAACUUCCUACUCCCACAUUCUCUAUCACUCCCUUCCUCUCUUCUUUUAUUUUAAAACAAAAAAAAAAAUUUCACAUACUUUAUAUAUGCCCAUAUGCUAGUAAUUAUAAACGAAACUAUAUUUAACUAUUUCGUUGAAAAUGACCGUACGAGUAUGUAAAUUUUGAAAUGUGAGUUGUCGUUCACUACGCAAGCAAAGAUCGAAAGCCUUCAUGUACCGAGGGGUCCCACUCCUUGAAUCAGAAUAAAAGUGCUUUGAAAAAGUCCCUUUAAUUAUGUCCAAGUUUGGAUAAAAUUUGUCCAUGCAUGGCAUGCACUCACUGACUGAUCUCGUCGUCCUGAAGGGUAAGAGAGGUAAAUUCCAGAAUAACCCACGAGGCACUGUAUGAAGCCUGUCAAUUACAUCAACUCAUCAAGCUUUCAAUCUUUUCAUGGCAUGCCUAACUUCUGUGAAAUAUGCUCAACAUUUAACAUUUUGUAAACCAAAAAGAGAGUAAGAGAGAGAUGAUUGAAGUAAUAAAGUAAAAGCGAAAUGCAUGCAUUGAUAAAAGGAAAUUUUAACAAAAAAAAUUUCGGUACUGUUUACUUUAACAAAAAAUUAUAUUUUUACAUUAAAAAGUCAAUUCUAAUACUAUUCAUUUUACCCUUUAUUUGUUCUUUAUUGUUAAAAAUCAAAUUUUUCAAUCCAUUUUUAUUAGUUUUCCUUUGAUAAAAGGAGAAAGAUGCAUGGAGAACUGGUUUUUUAUUUUAUUAUUAUUUUUUUUACAAACAAUAAUAUUAGAGUGGAUUAAGUUAUUAGCUGUUAGCGAGAAGAGGAUCAAUAAUAAUCAAACUAGCACCCGGAUGUAUAAGCAUAAUUGUUUUCUAAAAUUGCAAUAAAACGUCACUUUCCAUAUAUAUAUAUAUAAAAAAAAAAAACUUAUUGUUCCUUGUAUGAUGGAUUGCAAUCUCAAUAUCGUUCUUAAUGGAACGGCCACAAUUAGUUGUUCAGGACAUAAACAAUAUGUAUUGUCUUUAUAUUUAGGAAAUUGGCUCUGUUAGCCUUAUUACAAACCCAACAAUUAAAAAUACUCCCAAAUUAUAAUCUCUAUUAGCCCUCUUUUCCUUAAAUACCACUAACUUGAAAGAUGAACUGUUAUUCUAUGUCUCGACGUUGGAUCUCGAUGGCAUCCAAAAGGGCCUCUCAACUCCCUUCCGACUGUAUCUCGACUGAAUCACGACGGCAUCUCAACGGCACAGAACUGAAUUACCCUUAUAUUUAUGAGUUGAUCAGACACUCCAAUUAAAUAAAAAUAACUAUAAUUAUGUCAAAAUUAUUUAGUCAGUCUCACGUAUAUAUAAUUAAUUCAUCAAACACAUAAACAAAAAAGUUCUUGUAUGUAUGCUAUACUUUGAUUUGUCUCAACAAGAAAUGACUCAGUCAUCUUUUUAUCUAUGUCCAUUGAGUUUAUGGAGGGCAACAUAUUGAGAUCUCAAAAAUCUUAUUCUCAUACAACACACUUUUUUUUUUGAACAAACGAUAUUAUCUACACUAAGGGAAAAUGGGUGGCCUAAACCUCACAAUGGGCUAGCAAUAAUGUGGUUCAAAUUCACAUUUGGCGAGAAUCAAACCUAAGACCUCUCACUGACAAGUGAAGAAGAAUAUCACUAGACCGUAGUCCUAAAAAAAAUAUAGAUCUUAUAGUCUUGCAGUGUUUUAGAUUAGCUAAAACGUUGGUAUCCAUAUUAACUUACCAAAAAAAAUAUGUUGAAUUUGCUACACCUGGAAUUUGUAGCAGAUUUGUCAUUUUAUAAAGGGGUUUUUAACUCAUUUAAAAAAAAAGAAGGGGUUUUUAACUUUAAUUCUUAAAAAAAAUUGAAAUUUAAUAAAAAUCGGAUGUUAGAUUACAUAUUAAUUAUUGUCCUUUAAUGUGUUAUUAACUCAAAUUAAUUAAUGUGUAUUUUAUUCAAUAUCUCACAUUAAAUAUUUGAAUUUAUGAAAAUGAAAAUUAUAAUAAAAUAUAAUUAAUAUAUCAAAAUUAGAAAGAAAAAGAGAAAUAAUUAAAACAUCAAAAUAUAAUUAAUAAAUGAAGUAAUUAACAUAUCAAGAGACUAAAAUUAGAUUUUAAUUUUACUCAUGUUUUUAAUUUAAAGUUAUUUUUAUCAAAAAUUAAAAUGAAGUUUCCUAUUUUGUAAAUUACAACGAUGAAAAAUGACGCGUUGCACGUAAGAAACAACAUCUAUAUUUUCUCUUUUGUUUAAUAUGCCAUCAAACAUAUCCAUCACAUUUUAAAUUUUGUGGAAGUCCCUCUCUCACAUUGAUAAAGUCUGGUUUGUGUUGGACAGCUGUCCAACAGACAACCCAAAAAUCUUCCAAAAACCAACAAACAUUUCUGACCAGUCAUGCAUACGUAUGCAUGGACCCAAUGGCAUAUAAUCAAAAAUUUUAAAUAAUGGGAUCGUAAUGUCAACUUAAAAAAAAGUUUCAUUAAGCUAUUUCAUCGAACAUUUAGUAAGCAAUUGUCAAUUCUUGUCAACAAUGCCAAAAGUUUAUGUUAAAAUAUAUCAACUACGAUAAUUUGUAGAGGCUUGUCGAGAGUGAUGUAGGAUACUACGAAGUAAUAUUGAGAACUCUUAAAGCUUUUCAACUAAAGUAUUUUAUAUAAAAAGAGAGAAAAGAAAAACAAAUAUGAUAGAAGAAAAUAGAAGAAGUAAGAAGAUGAGGUUGUAAGUUAGUUUGCUUUAGCUAUUUAUAAUGGUCAAAUAAAAUAUACAAACAAAUAUACAUGAGAUUUUUAAAGUUGUUGAGAUCAAGGAUAAUCAAUGAUCCCAUUCUAGUUUUGCCAUUGCAUGGGCCGGAUAGGGAUAUGGCUAAAAUAUAAUUCUAUUAAUUGCGUUUUGGGACUUUGUCUAACAACUUGGCUCUCUCUUGACUUGGAUGCCAUGGAUGGCUCAUGCAGUUUACUAAAACUAGUAAUGUACAAUUUUCAGAGACUAUUAAUUAUCAUCUAUCAGGAAAAUUUGAUUUCCAUGCUUGCCCUUUCACGUCGGUGACUUGGAGAUAAUAUUGUUUCUUGUCCGGAGAUGAAAUAAAAUAAAAAGACUUGCACGAUCAUACUGCAUUAUAUAUAUUACACUAUAUAGUCUAUGUUGGGAGUUAUAUAUUAGUUAAAGUAUAAAUAGUAGUCUGUUAUCCUAUAUUGAUGAAGUGCAUAUGUAAUACAAAUUGUAAUUCCUAUAUAUACUCCAUUUUGGAGAUUAAUGAAUAUAUGAGAAAUUCUCAAAUAUUAUCAUAUAUAUUUUUGGUAUUUACCAUGUUUAGUUUAAUAUAGCAUCAAAGCAGUUCGCUCUUGGUGACCUGUGUGCUUUAAUUUUGUGCCCCACAUUUGUCAUGAUUUCCUUCGUCUUGAAAAAAAAAAAGGAAAGUAAAUAGUGUUGCACUACAGUACAAACAGUGCGUAAACAGUGGUAUGCUACAGUGUUCAUGAACAAUAUUUUGCUACAGUGCCAUUAACAGUGAUCUACUACAUCACUUGAACAGUGAUGUGCUACAGUAUUAUGGUAAAUUGUUUUCAUUCCGCUGCCUAUCUUUUGUGCCUUUAUUGUUUGUGAUUUAAUUCAAUGGCUCAGUAUAAUCAUAAUGUUGUUAUGCAUCUUGGUGGAACAAAUAAAUGGAUAAUUGAUACUGGGACCACUAAUCAUGUGACUAGUGACCCUAGAAUGUUUGAUGAGUUAUGUGACUAUAUUCUUGAUCCGUAUAUUACUAGUGCAAAUGGAGCACAUUCCCCCGUGAAUGUUGAAGGCAUUAUCUCUCUUACUUCGACCUUAUCACUGGUCCAUACUUUACUUGUUCCUGAUGUUAAGUGCAAUCUUUUGUCGGUAGAAAAACUACUUGAUACUUUAUAUUGUUUUGCUCACUUCUACCCUACGUAUUGUUAUUUUCAAGACAUUCAAACUCAGAAAGUAAUUGGUCAUGGUAAAAGAAUAGAGGGUUGUACAUCUUGACUAUGGAGGAUACUGUUGUUUCCGGUUCAAAUAAUCAUCAAGUUUUAAGUGCUAAAGUGGAUGACAUACAUCAAAUUUGGUUGUGGCAUUGGCGAUUAGGACGUCUAUCAUUCAGUUAUAUGAAGCAUCUAUUUCCUGCUUUGUUUCGCAUUUGUAGUGAUUCAUAAUUCAAGUGUGAAGCAUGUGUCAUGGCUAAGAGUCAUCGUGCUUCCUUUCCCAUAAGUGAUUCUAAAGCUACUUUGCCAUUUGAUUUAAUACAUUCUGAUGUGUGAGGUCCGGCAAAUGUUACUUCUAAUGAAUUUCGUUGGUUUGUUACUUUUAUUGAUGAUUGUACUCGAUUAACUUAGGUGUUAUUGAUGAAGAAUAAGAGUGAUGUUCAUUUGCUUCUUCAAGAAUUUUGUGCAAUGGUGUAUACUCAGUUUCAGACCAAAGUUAAGGUUUUCAGGUUUGAUAAUAGAGGAGAAUAUGUGAAUCACACUUUGACAUGCUUUUUUCGUGAUCAGGGUAUUAUUCACCAGACGACUACUUUGUUUACACCCCAACAAAAUGGUGUGUCAGAACAGAAGAAUCGUCAAAUAAUGGAGGUUGCUCACUCAUUGAUGUUGGAUAAAUGUGUUCCUAAUCAUUUAUGGGGUCAUGUUGUUUUGGCUGUUGUAUAUUUGAUAAAUCGUGUUCUAAGUAGGGUUCUUGAUUUUCAGACACCACUUGAUGUGUUACAAAAGCAUGUUUAUCUUGUUUCUGUAUCAAAACUUCCUCCGAAGGUGUUUGGGUGUAUUGCGUAUGUGUAUGUCUACUCUUAUCAGCGGAGUAAACUUGAUGCAUGUGUUCUUCGAUGUGUAUUUAGUAGGUAUGCUAACAAUCAGAAAGGCUAUAAGUGUUAUCAUCCUCCGACUCAUAAAACUUAUAUUACCAUGGAUGUCACUUUCCACGAGGAAGUUUCGUAUUUUGUGAAGCCAUCUUCCGACUCUCCACUUCAGGGGAAAAAAGGGAGUGAAGUGCAUAUUUGAAGAGAUGGUAUGGAUGAUGUGUUACAGGCAGAGUUGGGGAUAGAACCUAUUAUGUUGCGUGAUACUGAUCAGUCGGUUAUAGAUAGUGAUCUGUCACCUAUUAUUCCUAAAACUAUUUUUACUGACGACAGAUUAGAUGUGCCCAACGAGUUGCUUGUCAGUAUGUCUGACGAAUUACUUUCUGAUGACCGAUUGCUUGCUUCUGGUAUGUCUAACGAGCUGCCUGAUGAUGGUUAGUUCAGUGAUGGUUCAUCCAGUGAUGAUUCUUUUAACAAUUUGGUACAAGAUAAUGACAUACAUGAGUUAAAUUCUGACGAUUCUUCUAUUUAUUAGUUGCCUCCACGAGCUAAUCGUGGAAAACCUAAGGUACAAUAUGAGCCUGAUAUGCAUGCCAAAUCCAAAUAUCCUAUCAACAAUUAUGUGUUUACUCAUCGUUUGUCCAAACCAUUUUCAUCUUACAUAUGUCAGCUAUCUAGUGUAUCAAUUCCAACAAAAUUGCACGAUGCCUUGUCUGACCCUAAGUGGGUUAAUGCCAUGAGAGUUGAGAUGGAAGCCUUGGAAAAGAAUUCUACUUGGGAUUUGGUUCAUUUACCAAAUGGGAAGAAAGCUGUUGGAUGUAGAUAGGUGUUCACUAUUAAGCACAAAGCAGAUGGUUCUAUUGACCGGUAUAAAGCCAUAUUAGUUGCUAAGGAUUAUACUCAAACCUAUAGGGUGGACUAUCAGGAGAUUUUUGUUCUUGUUGCCAAACUUAAUACUGUGUGUGUUCUUCUGUCCUUAGUAGCAAACCAGGAUUGGCCUCUGUUGCAGUUUGAUGUUAAGAAUGAUUUCCUUCAUGGUGAUCUCAAGGAGGAAAUUUAUAUGGAUCUCCCACUUAGUAUUAGAACAUCUCCUGAAAAAUGUGUUGUAUGCAAGUUGCAAAAAGCUUUGUAUAGUUUGAAACAAUCUCUUAGAGUGUGGUUUUGGAGGUUUACAAGUUCAAUGAAGAAGUUUGGGUAUGUCCAGAGUCAUUCAAAUCAUACUUUGUUUCUAAAUUGUUUCUAAAGCCACAAAAUGGUAAGCUAACUGCAUUGAUUAUUUAUGUUGAUGACAUGUUAGUGACUAGUGAUGAUCAAAAGGAGAUACAACGCCUUAAAAAAGUACCUAGCUAGUGAAUUUGAGAUGAAAGAAUUGGGUGAAUUGAAGUAUUUUCUUGGAAUCGAGGUUGCACAAUCCAAGCAUGGUAUUUUUCUGUCUCAACAGAAGUAUGUUCUUGAUUUGUUAGUUGAAACAAAUCUGUUAGAUUGCAAACUUAUUGAUACUCUGAUUGAGCAAAAUCAUCAUCUGGGCUUAUUUCCGAAUCAAGUUCCUACUCAUAAGGAACGGUAUCAGAGGCUUGUGGGGAAAUUAAUUUAUUUGUCUCACACUUGCCCUGACAUUGCUUAUGCAGUUAGUGUAGUAAGUCAGUUUAUGCACUCACCUAGUGAAGCUCAUAUGGAUGAAAUAGUCCGUAUUUUGAGGUGCUUGAAGAUGGCUCCUGGCAGAGGCUUGGUUUUCUCCAAGAAUGGUCAUUUGAAUGUCGAAGGGUAUACAGAUGCAGAUUGGACAAGUUCUAUCACUGAUUGGCGGGUGGUAAUCUAGUUACUUGGAGAAGUAGAAACAAAAAAUGGUGGCUAGGUCAAGUGCUGAAGCUGAGUUUCGUGGUAUGUCUCAUGGUGUAUGUGAGUUGUUGUGGUUAAAAAAAUUGUUGAGAGAUCUUGGAUUUAAACCCAAUGGUGCUAUGAAACUCCAUUGUGAUAACAAGGCUGCUAUUGAGAUUGCUCAUAAUCCAGUGCAACAUAAUCAAACAAAACAUGUGGAGAUUGAUCAACAUUUCAUCAAGGAAAAUUUGGAUGCUGGAAUUAUUAUGUUUCCGUUUGUGAGAUCUGAAGAUCAACUCGCUGAUGUACUUACUAAGACUGUGUCUAAUAGUGUGUUUUCCAACUCGCUUGACAAGUUGGGCAUGCAUGACAUCUUUGCUCCAACUUGAGGGGGAAUUUUACGAGUUAUAUAUAGUUAAAGUGUAAAUAGUAGUCUGUUGUCCUACAUUGAUGAAGUACAUAUGUAAUACUAAUUGUAACUCCUAUAUAUACUCCACUUUGGAGAUUAAUAAAUAUAUAAGAAAUUCCCAAAUAUUGUCAUAUAAAUUUUUGGUAUUUAUCAUGUUUAGUUUAAUAGUCUAAACAUCAGGAAAUACACCAACCCUAAACCUAAUGGAUUUUAUGAAGCCGCUGGUUUGGGUACACAUUAAUCUAACCUAAUUGCUCUACCACAUUCUAAACACAAAAUUUGUUAUAAAUAGGAUGAUUAAAUUUAUUUUCUCAAGCGGUAGAGUAGUGAACCUCACAGCGACGACAAUCUUCCACCCCCAAAUUCGGGUUUUUUUGUACUAAAAUGGUCUUUUAUGUAUAAGAACUUUACGAUAAGUUUAUUAAAAUUGGCUCUGUAUCUACGAAAUCUCAACAUCCAUACGUUACAAAAUGGAUUAGAACUCCUAGGAAAUAAAAUAGAACAUAUGAUGAUCCCUUUAAAGGGCCUUAUAAUGGGGAAGACUUCUCACAGAAUAUAAGAAGACGAAGAGGAAAACUAAAAACUUAGAACUUCAAGGAGAUGGACUGGAGCAGGGAGAAUGGCAAAGAACCGGAACCCAGAAGACCCGCAACGAAAAAGAAAACACUGUACUUUUUUUAGACAUUUUUUCACAUUUCUUCUCGGCCUUACAGCCAAGUAGCAUUUUCCGACCCCAAAUAAAGAUAGAAGGAAAAAACCAAAUUAAGGUAAAUAAAUUUUCUAUAGCAACUUGGCAAACAAAAACAUACUAGAAGAAAACAAGGAAAAUACAAAGAAAUUAAGGAAGUAUGGGAAACAAAAUAAAUUUAAUACGGGACCAACGACAACGGUGCAAAUGUAUAUUGUUCAGGAAAUAAACUUUUAGCGAAAAUGUGCUGCAAAAUUGACCAAUUUUGCUUCAUAUUCACACUCAAUUUUUUUAAGAAUUAAUAUCUGUAGAGUUUAGACCAAAAAUAAAAUAAAAAACAAAACCAAAAUGCUACUCCACUUUCUUGGUACUUAACUCAGCUCUCCACCUCCUUCCAAUCUUACAAGCUUCUAGAUUUAGAUUUGUCUCAAAUCACAUGCCAACUAACCUGCCCAGCUCAAUUUUAUUUUUUCUUUGGAAAUUCCAGUGCGUCUCUACUUUUGUUUUUCUAAAUCUUACUUACUCCCAUUAUAAUUGGAAUUUUAUAUAUUUAUAUGGAUGCUUUGUCAAGAUAUGAGAGAAAUAGUAGUGAUUCAAAAAGAUGAUUAGGAGCCAAAAAUAUUUAUUAUUUUAGAUUGGUGUUUAUGUUUUUGAACAGUUAAAAACUUUUUUGGUCAUUGUGUUUAUGUUUAAAAUUUAUUUUGGUCACUGUAUUUUAUUUUCUGCUAAUUUAGUUACUGUGUUAUCACAAGUUAGCAAUCUUAGUCCUUCUCAAUCAAACGUUAAAAAAAACGCACAUGACAUGCAAGUGCAGGGGUAACUAUGUAAGUGAAAAUAUAUCUUUGCCCCUGCACGAAACUGUCACGUGCAUUUUUUUGGCGGUUGACUUAUGGUAACGCAGUGACCAAUUUGGCAGAAAAUAAAACACAAUGACCAAAAUAAAUUUUAGAAAUACACACAGCGACCAAAAACGUUUUAAUUUAACCCAUUUUUAACAGUCCAGCCAGCUACCAUGAAAGCUACAACAUGAAAGCUGACUGUCAAAAUUUUGUUUAAAAAUUCAUACACAAUAAUCGUCAUAAGAACGUGCAAUAGGUACUUUGAAUUCUUAAAUAUACUGCAUGGUUACCCUUUCCUUUUGUUUUAUACAGAGAAAUCUUGACAGGCAGUCAAAAGCAAAAUUAUGUUCUUCUAGUGAUAUCUGUGUGCUAAAAAGGAAGUACGUAGCUACGUUCAGUCUUCACCUAACACUCCUAUUUGCACCUAAAAGAUGUGGAUAACAAAGAUUUUGACCAAAAUCACAUUGACAAGUACUUGCCAAAGGAUCACGGAACCUAUGAUUGUAAAAGAUAUACGUGUUGGGCCUGACCGACGUUAAUUAGUUGUUCAUAUUGAUUUGAGAAAUUUGAUUGAAUGAGGAUUAACAAAUCACAAUUGCUAAAAUAUUAAAAUGUAUUAACUGCGACAUAUUGGUUAAAUAAUUAUUGCACAUCGAAAAAAUAUUGACGAGUAAUUAUGAAUUUUUAUUUUCAUUAUUUCAAACAUUUUUAUAUUAGAAAAGCUAAAGAAAAUGAUUUAAAAACUUUGAAUUUUAAUGAUACGUACAAAAUGAAAGGUAAAAUAAAUAGUACCAGAAUUAACUUUUUGUUUAAAUUUUAUUUUCUAUUUGGCAUCAACUUUUGGUUUAAAUAUACUAUAUAACCCUCACAAAAGAAAAAGCAUGGUGUACUAGUAGCUAAAAGACAUAAAAAAGGUUAAUCUUAAUUUAUUAUUCUAAAGUUUCUUAGUUUUCAAUAUUUGGUAUAUAAAGUUUUUUUUAUUCUAGAGUUGUACAUAAAGUUAUAAUUUUGGGAUACUUUCAUACAUCCAUUAAGGUUGCUGUUAAAUUUAUCAUUAACUGAUGAUAUGACAUUUAUGUUGACAAUGACACGUAGAUAUUAAAAAUUAAAAAUUAAAUUAAUAAAAUAAUAAAAAUUAAAAAAAAAAAAAAAUUGGGCGUCUUCACCCUCACCCCUUCUGACCCCCCUCCCUUCUCUCCUCUGCACCCACGCUUCCCCCUCCCUCUUCGACUCCACCCAACGCUGCACUCCGAGGAUUGUUGCCAUCCUUUCAAGCCCAAUUUCGCCCCCAAAUAGGCCCGGGCAGUACUUGGCCAUAAACUUCAAGUCGUAGACCCUCUCGAACAAACGACCUGCCAUCUUUGCGAACUCAGUGGGGGAGCUGAGGAUGGUCUUCCUCGUCACCAGCUUCAUUACAUAGGCCGAGUCGUAGAGGCCGUGGAAGCUCACCCAUACGAGCUGCCCCCUGUGCACCCUUAAAAUCUCAACGAAACCCUCCACAAAAAUAUCCGAAUCAAUGCCGAACUUCCCAAAUUUCUCGAGAUCCAAGCCAUUCGCUUUGAGGAGGGCAAUGGAUUCUGGAACAUGGGGGUCGGUUUCCUCGUCAAAACCCCGAAAGUUGAACUCCCAGGUGCCGCCGACGUUGCCGCGGUCGUCGAACAGGGUGAUACCCACUUGGAUGAGAUUGAGAGAAUCGACAUUAAGGGCGAUAUCUUGGUAACGGAGGCCCUUGGAAGUGCCUCUGGGGGUGUUGCGGAGGAACCCCGGAAAUUCGGUGUCGAACGAGACGAUCGGAAAACGGCAGAGACACCGAUCGACGGAGGGAAGGGGAAAGGUGGGUGCAAAGGAGAGAACGGGAGUGGGGUCGGAAGGGGUGAGGAAGAAGAUGCCCAAAUUUUUUUAUUUAUUUAAUUUUUUUAGUUUUUAUUAUUUUAUUUUUUAAUAUGCACGUGUCAUCAUGUCAUUGUCCACGUGGAUAACACAUCAUUAGUUAACAGUAAAUUUAAAGGCAACCUUAAUGAAUGUAUAAAAUUGUUCCAAAAUUAUAACUUUAUGUACCACUCUGAGAUGAAAAAAACUUUAUUUACCAAAUAUUGAAAACAAAAAAACUUUAAGAUAAUAAACUAAUAUUAAUCCUAAAAAACUACUAAAGGAAAGGGUGAAAGAAAAAAUUAUUAGUUUGUGCUGUUCUCAUGGUAAUAGUGGUUUUUGUAUUGUACGAUCAUGUGUUACAUUUUAUGCAUUAUUAUGUGGAUGAAUGAAUAAGUUAAUUACAUCGCAUGUCAUAGGGUGAAUAUUACAUUAAAAAAUUCUUCAUUCUUGUUAUUCGUCAAAUUAAUGGUUGUGCAUUUGUAUGAGGACCUAGAUCUGUUGAGGAUGCAGAUCUUCACUCGUUGAAGGCCAUCCCUAUCUAUCUACUACUACUCUUUGGAAAAUAAUUGACUACAGAUGAUUGUACAAAAAAAUAAUUAAUAUUAUCUGAACAGCUCACCAUGCAUGUUCAGUAAAGUAAAGCGGAUUUGUUUAUUCAUUGUCUAGUUCAAACUUGGGGAGCAUUUUCUCAUUCUUGCGGUGAUCAGAAUAAUGUGAUUUAAGUCCAGUUAAACAUGCUUAAUUAUGCAUUUAAGCAUCUUUUAUUUAUUUGCUUUCAUUAUUUUUUCCUUCUUAAUGUGUUGUUAUUGUUUGGAACAACAAGUAAGACAAAUCUAGCCAGUUAGCAUUCACCGCAUCACCGCAUAAUGAAAGAUUAUUCAUAUUUGGAAAUGAAUAAUUAAUUAAAAAACUGUAUUAUUAAGGCAAAUGGGCACUUAAUAUUUGUAUCUUAAACCUUCCGAGUCGGAUAUUCGAGUAAAUUAGUUAAAAAGCUAUGCAAAAUGUGAAUGUGACAGACUACGUAGUAAAGUUUGGGUUAAGAGAGAGAGAGAGAGAGAGAGAGAGUAUUUCGCAGCCGGCUGGUCCCUAUGUACGGGAAGAAUCAUAGAAAGUUAGGUAACUACACACAUUUUUCAAAGAUGUCGAUCAUGAAAAAUAUUUGAUAACAAAUUCAGGGAGGACAUACUGCUUAAAUUAUUAACCUAGAAAUAAAGUUCGAUCUCUUGCUUUAACUUUUCUGCUACGUAGCUCUUAUUGCAUUAAACAAAGCCUUAUUAAAGUAAAGAUGGUCACACCCUUAGCCCUUUAGGUGAUACGUUCAGGGAAAUGGUUAAUGUUUUUACAAGCUCUUGUUUAUUUUUAUUUUUUAAUAUUUUCAGAUAUUUUUACAAUCUUUUACUGCGCAGUAAUAGAGUGUAAAAAUCAUAUCUAUGUAUUUAUUUAUUAUUAACUAUGUUUACAAUGAACCUUCUAUUCCAUGAAACAAGAUAUAAAAAUAAAAAUAAAAAGGAGAAGGGCAUAAAUUAACAAAAUUCGGUCAAAGGCCGCAUUGGUCCAAACAUUAAUUGAUAAUCUAUGACAAAUAGUCUGGCCCCAUUAGCAUUAUUUUAACAGUAAUAUUGUUUUUUUACUAAGAUAAUUAAUAAUUGCCAAGUGAAAAUUUGGCAUGAGUACCAUUGUGAAGGGUAAAAACCAAAGCUAUAUAAAGGGUGAGGAGGCUUAGCUUCAGAGGCAGACAACCAAAAACCCAUUCUUAACGAAGGAUGGGAAAAAUGGUGCCUUCACAAGUGACCUCUCUUGUGGUCACUCUCCUAGUGGCAAUAGUCUCUCUCACAUUGCCUUCAGAAACUUCAGCUAACUACCCUUACACCUCUCCACCACCACCGGCCUCUCCUCCCUACCAUUACAAGUCACCACCGCCUCCUUCUCCUUCUCCUCCAGUGCACUACUCACCACCUAAGCAUCCCUACCACCCUAAGUCACCACCACCUCCUGUGUACGCACCACCUAAGCAUCCCUACCACCCUAAGUCACCACCACCUCCUGUGUACCCACCACCUAAGCAUCCCUACCACCCCAAGUCACCACCACCAUCACCAAAGCCUUACCACUACAAAUCCCCACCACCACCUCCUGCUCCAGUGCACUCACCACCCCCACCUAAGGAGCCAUACCACUACAAGUCCCCACCACCACCACCCAAGAAGCCCUACCACUACAAAUCUCCCCCACCACCUCCUCCUCCAGUUCACUCACCACCACCACCCAAGGAGCCUUACCACUACAAAUCUCCACCACCACCACCCAAGAAACCUUACUAUUACAAGUCUCCUCCACCACCACCAAAGAAGCCUUACCACUACAUGUCUCCUCCCCCACCGGUGUACUCACCACCUCCACCAGUGCACUCACACCCACCACCAAAAAAGCCUUACCAUUACAAAUCUCCUCCCCCGCCAGAAUAUUCACCAGCUCCACCAGUGCACUCAACCCCACCACCAAAGAAGCCCUACCAUUACAAAUCCCCACCACCACCACCACCACACAAGAAGCCUUAUUACCCUGUUCACUCACCACCUCCACCUAAGAAGCCUUACCACUACAAAUCCCCACCACCACCUUCUCCUACUCCUCCUAAAUACUCACCACCUAAGCACCCCUACCACUACAAGUCUCCACCACCACCACCAAAGAAGCCUUACCAUUACAAGUCCCCACCACCUCCUUCUCCUACUCCCCCUAAAUACUCACCACCUAAGCACCCCUACCACUACAAGUCACCACCACCACCACCCCAAGAAGCCUUACCACUACAAGUCUCCACCACCACCACCUCCUCCAGUUCCCACACCAUCUCCACCCAAGAAACCUUACCACUACAAGUCUCCCCCACCACCCCCUCCAGUCUACAAGUCUCCUCCACCACCAGUUUACUCACCACCACCACCACCUAAGAAACCUUACAAGCCACCAACUCCUCCAGCAGUUCACCCACCACACGGUUACAUCUAUUCCUCACCCCCACCUCCUCACCACUA
rnacentral:lncRNA from 1 species